rnacentral:lncRNA from 1 species
UGGAUAUAGGUGAUGCACUAUUGCACAACUCUUCUUUGUCACUAGGAACAUCAGGAAUAUCGAAGUUUGACAAAGGAAAAUUAGUAAUUGGUUCCAUAAUUGUUUUCUCUAAGUUAGCAGCAUUAGUGGACAAAUGCAGCUCAUCUAAUGCAAGGUCACCUUCAUUUAUGUUACCACCAUCUAAUUUACCUUUGAUGCUGUGUUGAAAUGGUGUGGGUGCAGCAAGAUUUACGCUCUCUUUAAAUGACUCAUCUAGUAUCUCAAGUUGCACGCUUUCCAUGUGUAUGUUGUCUUCUUGUUGCUGCAAAUUGUUAGUAAUAGGAGAGACACGUACUUCUAUAAUACUUGCGAGAUCCCUUUCUAACUCACAAGCAAGAUCAAACAAUUCAUCAAAAGUGUUAUAAUACUUAUCAACAAGAAUGUUCUGAAUUUCUACAUUAAGACCUUGCAGAAAUCUAUGUUCCAAAAGUUCAUCAGUUUCUUCUAAUCCACAUCGCAGCACACACAAUUUUAGUUUAUCCAAAUAUUCCGCUACGGUUUUGUUUUCUUGCUUUAUAGAUUGUAGUUUUUCAAACAAAAUUUCAGAAUAGUACUCAGAGACAAAAACAUCUCUAAAAUGUCUUUUCACAUCUUUCCAUGUUUGAGGAGCUUUAUGAAAUCUACAAAGGUAUUUCCAUGAACUUAAAAGCAUACUCAGUAAGAACACUGGAAGCAACUCUAAUCUUUUGGCUUUCCGAUAGAUUAUGCUUUUUAAAUUCAUUGUCUACAUUUAGCUCCCAUUUAAUAUAUGCAUGUGGAUCACAAUUUCCUUCAAAAUAAGGUAAUGCAGAUUUUAUUUCAUCUAGCAAAACAUCACAUACCUCAUGAGUGCCAGACUUAUCACUUGCCACACCUUUAGCAAGGUGAUGUGAACAUGCAAUCUGAUUAUCGCUUGUUUCUACGUGGAUUCCUGCCAUGAUUAGAACAAAACAAGAGACAUACGCAAUAAUCUUUAUGCUCCUAUCAACUACAAGGAUGUGGUUGUUGUAAUUAUUUCACUCUCACCCUAUGCAAACAAGUUCUUACCAAGCGAAACAGGAGGUGGCAGGAACCAACAAGUCAGAAAACCUAGAAAAUGGUGUAUCAACGCUGCAGCAACAACACUUGUCAAGUUGUAGUCUGAUAUGUGGAGUUUCCACUUGAGCCUCUUCACCCAAGUGUACCAAAUAGUGCAUCCAUAAUGGUUUCUCAGACUAUGGUGCAUUAGGUGCAAACUGUGCACCUAUCUUGCACCGAAACUAACAAUGUCUCCAAGUGGACCGAAGCGAGAUUCCAUAUGACACACAUCGUCAAGGAGUUCCAUCGGGUGCAUCCAAAUUGAUUUCCAAGCAUAUGGUAUGUUCCAUGCAAACCAUGCACCUAUCUUGCAUCAAGAUUAGCACUAUCUCCAAACAUAUCAAACCGAGCUUCCACUUGAGCCUCUUCACCGAAGUAUCAACAGGUGCUUACAAAAUGGUUUGAUAGACUAUGGUGCAUUAGGCGCAAACCAUGCACAUAUCUUGCACCGAAACUAAAACUAUUUCUAAACAGACCAAAGUGAGAUUCCAUAUGACAGACGUCAUCAAGGAGUUCCAUCGAGUGCAUCCAAAUUGAUUUCCAAGCAUAAGGUAUGUUCCACGCAAACUGUGCACCUAUCUUGCAUCAAGAUUAGCACUAUCUCCAAACAGACCAAACCGAGCAUCCACUUGAGCCCCUUCACCUAGGAGUACCAACAAGUGUGUCCAAAAUGGUUUCUUAGACUAUGGUGCAUUAGGUGCAAACUGUGCACCUAUCUUGCACCGAAACUAACAAUGUCUCCAAAUGGACCGAAGCGAGAUUCCAUAUGACACAUGUCGUCAAUGAGUUCCAUCGGCUGCAUCCAAAUUGAUUUCCAAGCAUAUGGUAUGUUCCAUGCAAACCAUGCACCUACCUUGCAUAAGGAUUAGCACUAUCUCCAAACUGACCGAACCAAGCUUCCACUUGAGCCUCUUCACCCAAGAGUACCAAAUAGUGCAUCCAAAAUGGUUUCUUAGACUAUGGUGCAUUAGGCGCAAACCGUGCACAUAUCUUGCACCAAAACUAAUACAAUCUCUAAGCACACCAAAGCGAGAUUCCGUAUAACACACAUCAUCAAUGAGUUCUAUCGGGUGUGUCCAAAUUAAUUUCUAAGCAUAUGGUACGUUCCAUGCAGACCAUGCAUCUAUCUUGCAUCAAGAUUAGCACUAUCUCCAAAUAGACCAAAUCAAGCUUUCACUUGAGCUUUUUACCUAGGAGUACCAUCGGGUGCGUCCAAAAAGGUUUCUUAGCCAAUGCUGCAUUAUGUGCAAACCUUGCACCGAAACUAACACUGUCUCCAAACAGACCAAAGCAAGAUUUUGUAUGACACACGUCAUCUAGGAGUUCCAUCAUGUGCGUCCAGAUGGAUUUCCAAGCAUAUGGUACGUUCCAUGUAGACCAUGCAUCUAUCUUGCAUCAAGAUUAGCACUAUCUGCAAAUAGACCGAACCGAGCAUCCACUUGAGCCCCUUCACUUAGGAGUACCAACGAGUGCGUCCAGAAUGGUUUCUUAGACUAUGGUGCAUUAGGUGCAAAGUGUGCACCUAUCUUGCACCGAAACUAACAAUGUCUCCAACAGGACCGAAGCGAGAUUCUAUAUGACACACGUUGUCAAGGAGUUCCAUCGGGUGCAUCCAAAUUGAUUUCCAAGCAUAUAGUAUGUUCCAUGCAAACCAUGCACCUACCUUGCAUAAGGAUUAGAACUAUCUCCAAACUGACCGAACCAAGCUUCCACUUGAGCCUCUUCACCCAAGAGUACCAAUUAGUGCGGCCAAAAUGGUUUCUUAGACAAUAGUGCAUUAGGAGCAAACUGUGCACCUAUCUUGCACUAAAACAUACAAUGUCUACAAACGGACCGAAGCAAGAUUCCAUAUGACACACGUCAUCUAGGAGUUCCAUUGGGUGCGUCCAAAUUGAUUUCUAAGCAUAUGGUAUGUUCCUUGCAAAUCAUGCACCUAUCUUGCAUCAAGAUUAGCACUAUCUCCAAACAGAUCAAACCGAGCUUCCACUUGUGCCUCUUCACUGAAGUACCAACAGGUGCUUCCAAAAUGGUUUCUUAGACUAUGGUGCAUUAGGCGCAAACCAUACACAUAUCUUGCACCGAAACUAACACUAUUUCUAAAUAGUUAAAAGUGAGAUUCCAUUUGACACAUGGCAUCAAGGAGUUCCAUCGCGUGCAUCCAAAUUAGUUUCCAAGCACAUGGUAUUUUCCAUGCAAACCAUGCACCUAUCUUGCAUCAAGAUUAGCACUAUCUCCAAACAGACCAAACCGAGCAUCCACUUGAGCCCCUUCACCUAGGAGUACGAACAAGUGCGUCCAAAAUGGUAUCUUAGACUAUGGUGCAUUAGGUGCAAACUGUGCACCUAUCUUGCACCGAAACUAACAAUAUCUCCAAAUGGACCGAAGCGAGAUUCCAUAUGACACACGUCGUCAAGGAGUUCCAUCGGGUGACUCCAAACUGAUUUCCAAGCAUAAGGUAUGUUCCAUGCAAACCAAGCACCUACCUUGCAUAAGGAUCAGCACUAUCUUUAAACUGACCGAACCAAGCUUCCAUUUGAGCCUCUUCAAGCAAGAAUACCAAAUAGUGCAUCAAAAAUGAUUUCUUAGACUAUGGUGCAUUAGGCACAAACUAUGCACCUAUCUUGCACCGAAACUAACACUCUCUCCAAACAGACCGAAGCGAGAUUCCAUAUGACACACGUCAUCUAGGGGUUCCAUUGGGUGUGUCCAAAUUGAUUUCUUAACAUAUGGUACGUUCCAUGCAAAACUGUACAACUAUCUUGCAUCAAGAUUAGAACUAUAUCCGAACAGACCAAAUCGAGCCUCCACUUGAGCCACUUCAACUAUGAGUACCAGGGUGCGUCUAAAAUGGUUUCUUAGCAUAUGGUGCAUUAGGCGUAAACCGUGCACAUAUCUUCUACCAAAACUAACACUGUCUCUAAACAAAACGAAGCAAGAUACCAUAUGACACACAUCAUCAAGGAGUUAUAUCAGGUGCGUCCUAAUUGAUUUAUGAGCAUAUCAUAUGUUCCAUGCUAACAGUGCAUCUAUCUUGCAUCAAGAUUAGCACUAUCUCCAAACAGACCAAACCAAGCUUUCACUUGAGCACCUUGACCUAGGAGUACCAUCGGGUACUUCCAAAAUGGUUUCUUAAACUAUGGUGCAUUAGGCGCAAACCAUGCACAUAUCUUGCACCGAAACUAACAUUGUUUCUAAAUAGACCAAAGUGAGAUUCUAUAUGACACACGUCAUCAAGGAGUUCCAUCGGGUGCAUCCAAAUUGAUUUCCAAGCAUAAGGUAUGUUCCAUGCAAACCGUGCACCUAUCUUGCAUCAAGAUUAGCACUAUCUCCAAACAGACCGAACCGAGCUUCCACUUGAGCCUCGUCAUCUAGGAGUACAAAUAGGUGCGUCAAAAUGGUUUCUUAGACUAUGGUGCAUUAGGCACAAACUAUGCACCUAUCUUGCACCGAAACUAACACUGUCUCCAAACUGACCGAAGCGAGAUUCCAUAUGACACACGUCGUCUAGGUGUUCCACUGGGUGCGUCCAAAUUGAUUUCUUAACAUAUGGUACGUUCCAUGCAAACUGUACAACUAUCUUGCAUCAAGAUUAGCACUAUAUCCGAACAGACCAAAUCGAGCCUCCACUUGAGCCACUUCAACUAUGAGUACCAUCAGGUGCGUCUAAAAUGGUUUCUUAGCCUAUGGUGCAUUAGGCGUAAACCGUGCACAUAUCUUCUACCAAAACUAACACUGUCUCUAAACGAAACGAAGCAAGAUACCAUAUAACACACAUCAUCAAGGAGGUAUAUCAAGUGAAGAGGCUCAAUUGAUUUCUUAACAUAUGGUAUGUUGCAUGCAAACUGUGCAACUAUCCUGCGUCAAGAUUAGCACUAUAUCCGAACAGAACAAAUCGAGCCUCCACUUGAGCCUCUUCAACUACGAGUACCAUCGGGUGCGUCUAAAAUGGUUUCUUAGCCUAUGGUGCAUUAGGCGUAAACUGUGCACAUAUCUUCUACCAAAACUAACACUGUCUCUAAACGAACUGAAGCAAGAUUCCAUAUGACACAAAUCAUCAAGGAGUUACAUCAGGUGCGUCCUAAUUGAUUUCUAAGCAUAUCGUAUGUUCCAAGCAAACAGUGCAUCUAUCUUGCAUCAAGAUUAGCACUAUCUCCAAACAGACCGAACCGAGCAUCCGCUUGAGCCCAAUCACCUAGGAGUACCAACAAGUGCGUCCAAAAUGGUUUCUUAGACUACGGUGCAUUAGGUGCAAACUGUGCACCUAUCUUGCACCGAAACUAACAAUGUCUCCAACUGGACCGAAGCGAGAUUCUAUAUGACACACGUUGUCAAGGAGUUCCAUCGGGUGCAUCCAAAUUGAUUUCCAAGCAUAUAGUAUGUUCCAUGCAAACCAUGCACCUACCUUACAUAAGGAUUAGAACUAUCUCCAAACUGACCGAACCAAGCUUCACUUGAGCCUCUUCACCCAAGAGUACCAAAUAGUGCGGCCAAAAUGGUUUCAUAGACAAUAGUGCAUUAGGCGCAAACUGUGCACCUAUCUUGCACUAAAACAUACAAUGUCUACAAACGGACCGAAGCAAGAUUCCAUAUGACACACGUCAUCUAGGAGUUCCAUUGGGUGCGUCCAAAUUGAUUUCUAAGCAUAUGGUAUGUUCCUUGCAAAUCAUGCACCUAUCUUGCAUCAAGAUUAGCACUAUCUCCAAACAGAUCAAACCGAGCUUCCACUUGUGCCUCUUCACUGAAGUACCAACAGGUGCUUCCAAAAUGGUUUCUUAGACUAUGGUGCAUUAGGCGCAAACCAUACACAUAUCUUGCACCGAAACUAACACUAUUUCUAAACAGUCAAAAGUGAGAUUCCAUUUGACACAUGGCAUCAAGGAGUUCCAUCGCGUGCAUCCAAAUUAGUUUCCAAGCACAUGGUAUUUUCCAUGCAAACCAUGCACCUAUCUUGCAUCAAGAUUAGCACUAUCUCCAAACAGACCAAACCGAGCAUCCACUUGAGCCCCUUCACCUAGGACUACGAACAAGUGCGUCCAAAAUGGUAUCUUAGACUAUGGUGCAUUAGGUGCAAACUGUGCACCUAUCUUGCACCGAAACUAACAAUAUCUCCAAAUGGACCGUAGCGAGAUUCCAUAUGACACACGUCGUCAAGGAGUUCCAUCGGGUGCAUCCAAAUUGAUUUCCAAGCAUAUAGUAUGUUCCAUGCAAACCAUGCACCUACCUUACAUAAGGAUUAGAACUAUCUCCAAACUGACCGAACCAAGCUUCACUUGAGCCUCUUCACCCAAGAGUACCAAAUAGUGCGGCCAAAAUGGUUUCAUAGACAAUAGUGCAUUAGGCGCAAACUGUGCACCUAUCUUGCACUAAAACAUACAAUAUCUACAAACGGACCGAAGCAAGAUUCCAUAUGACACACGUCAUCUAGGAAUUCCAUUGGGUGCGUCCAAAUUGAUUUCUAAGCAUAUGGUAUGUUCCAUGCAAAUCAUGCACCUAUCUUGCAUCAAGAUUAGCACUAUCUCCAAACAGAUCAAACCGAGCUUCCACUUGUGCCUCUUCACCGAAGUACCAACAGGUGCUUCCAAAAUGGUUUCUUAGACUAUGGUCCAUUAGGCGCAAACCGUACACAUAUCUUGCACUGAAAGUAACACUAUUUCUAAACAGAACAAAGUGAGAUUCCAUAUGACACAUGGCAUCAAGGAGUUCCAUCGCGUGCAUCCAAAUUAAUUUCCAAGCACAUGGUAUUUUCCAUGCAAACCAUGCACCUAUCUUGCAUCAAGAUUAGCACUAUCUCCAAACAGACUAAACCGAGCAUCCACUUGAGCCCCUUCACCUAGGAGUACGAACAAGUGCGUCCAAAAUGGUAUGUUAGACUAUGGUGCAUUGGGUGCAAACUGUGCACCUAUCUUGCAUCGAAACUAACAAUGUCCCCAAAUGGACCGAAGCGAGAUUCCAUAUGACACACAUCGUCAAGGAGUUCCAUCGGAUGCAUCCAAAUUGAUUUCCAAGCAUAAGGUAUGUUCCAUGCAAACCAUGCACCUACCUUGCAUAAGGAUCAGCACUAUCUCCAAACUGACCGAACCAAGCUUCCAUUUGAGCCUCUUCAAGCAAGAAUACCAAAUAGUGCAUCAAAAAUGGUUUCUUAGACUAUGGUGCAUUAGGCACAAACUAUGCACCUAUCUGCACCGAAACUAACACUCUNNNNNNNNNNNNNNNNNNNNNNNNNNNNNNNNNNNNNNNNNNNNNNNNNNNNNNNNNNNNNNNNNNNNNNNNNNNNNNNNNNNNNNNNNNNNNNNNNNNNUUCUUAACUGGAAUGAAAUGAGCCGACUUGGUUAAUCGAUCUAUGAUUACCCAAAUCGAGUCAUUCCCCUUCCACGUGGUUGGUAAACCUGUGAUAAAGUCCAUACUGACCUCUUCCCAUUUCCACUAUGGAACUGAUAACGGUUGCAAUAGACCUGCAGGUUUCAUAUGGAUGGCCUUAACUCUGCAACACGUGUCACAACGGGCUACAUACGCAGCUAUGUCUUUCUUCAUCUUGGUCCACCAAAAGUGGGGUCUCAAGUCUUGGUACAUUUUACUACUGCCAGGAUGAAUAGAAAGCUUAGAGAGAUGGGCUUCAUCCAUGAUGCGAUUCUUCAAUUCCCGAUCCUUCGGGACUACUAACCGAUGUUGAAACCACAGUACCCCUUUCUCAUCAACUCGAAACUGAGCUUUUGGAUCGUCUUUGAUCCUCUCUUUGAGGUGGAAAAUACCCUUGUCUGUUUUCUGACCUUCAAUGACUUGACUCUCGAGUGAACAACUGAGUUGUAUGUGACAUAAGACCUCAGGAUGCAUAAGAUUGAACCCAUCUUCAAACAACGGUUGAACCAUUUGAUAGUGCGGUUUGCGACUCAAGGAAUCUGCUACUACAUUAGCUUUGCCUGGAUGGUAGUGAACUUUCAGAUCAUAGUCCUUGAUUAACUCUAACCACCGUUGUUGCCUCAUAUUUAGCUCGGAUUGAGUGAAGAUGUACUUCAAACUCUUAUGAUCAGUAUAAAUGUGACAUUUAUUUCCCAGUAAAUAGUGUCUCCAAAUCUUCAAAGCAUGUACCACUGCUGCUAACUCGAGGUCGUGAGUUGGGUAGUUGACUUCGUGCUUUCUCAACUGUCGGGAAGCAUAAGCUAUCACCCUGCCAUCUUGAAUCAACACACACCCCAGGCCACUCUUCGAUGCAUCGCAAAACACAUCAAAAGGCUUCUCUAUAUUGGGUUGUGCCAGAACGGGAGCAGUGGUUAGCAACUUUCGCAAGGUGCGGAAGGCUAACUCACACCCCUCCGUCCAGACAAACUUAUGAUCCUUUUGUAGCAAACUUGUCAUUGGCUUAGCAAUCUUGGAGAAGUCAGGUAUGAAUCGACGAUAAUACCCUGCCAGACCAAGAAAACUUCUAACUUCCGAGACAGAAGUUGGUGCCUUCCAGUCCAUGACUUCCUGCACUUUUGACGGAUCCACAGCAAUCCCUUCUUCAGACAGAAUGUGCCCUAGGAAAGGAACUUUCUUCAACCAGAACUCACACUUGCUGAACUUGGCAUAUAACUGAUGCUCUCGUAAUCGUGUUAACACGGUUCUCAGAUGCUUGGCGUGAUCUUGCUCAUUUUCUGAAUAAACCAGGAUAUCAUCGAUAAACACCACAACAAACUUAUCCAAUUCUGGCAUAAAGACUGAAUUCAUCAGAUACAUAAAGUAUGCAGGAGCAUUUGUCAACCCAAAGGACAUGACAAGGUACUCAUACAACCCGUAUCUGGUGGAAAAAGCAGUCUUCGGGAUAUCUUGCGGACGAAUCUUGAUUUGGUGAUACCCAGACCUCAAAUCUAUCUUGGAAAACACUUUUGCCUUGGACAACUGAUCAAAUAAGAUAUCGAUCCUUGGCAAGGGAUACUUAUUCUUGAUCGUCACUGCAUUGAGUGGAUGAUAGUCCACGCACAUGCACAACGAUUGAUCCUUCUUUUUUACAAACAACGCCGGACAACCCCAUUCCGACGAACUUGGAUGGAUGAAUCCUUUAUCCAGCAACUCCUUUAGUUGAUUUUUCAACUCGGCGAGUUCGUUAGGUGGCAUCCGGUACGGCCUUCUAGAUAUUGGUGCUGUACCUGGGAUCAACUCAAUUGCAAACUCUACUUCCCUAUCUGGGGGAAGUCCUGGUAAUUCCUCGGGAAAAACAUCAGGGAACUCACAGACUACUGGGAUCUAUGGUAAGGGAACCACAUGCGUAGCACAAGAGAUGAUAGCAAAGUCAAGACGACGGGGCAGAGGUACUUGAAAAGAGCUACUGCCCUGCGGUUCUCUGAGAGAUAACAUCCUCUUCCCAGCAUCUAUGAUGGCAUCCCAUUCUCUCAUCCAGUUCAUGCCCAUGAUAACAUCCAAAACUAACCCAGGCAUGACCACUAGAUUUACCCGAAAAACUCGGUCACUUAUAUCCAGGGUUGCCCCUCGAACCACUCUAUUGGUCAACACAUCCGCCCCUGCUGAGCUGAUGCGGUAGCCAUAACCCAGAUCUAUAACCGGUUGACUAUGCUUUUGUGCAAAUGCUUGGCUCAUGAAUGAAUGCGAUGAUCCAGAAUCAAACAAAACAACUGCAAGAUGUUGGUUGACAGGGAACAUACCAGCUGUUACCGGUUCUCCUUCUGGGAUCUCCUCGAUCGAGGUGUGAUGCACACGAGCUGGAUAGGUUGGUUGCUGCCUCUUGGGGUAGGGACAUUCCUUAACAAAGUGACCCAUCUUGUGGCAGUUAUAGCAUGGACCCUUGGGCGCAUUGUUGACGGCAGGUGCUGCAGCUUGAAUUGCCUUUGGCUUGGCAGGGGUUAUUGCCACCUUGUACGGCUUCUGCUGUGUUGGAUGCCCGGUGUUCCUUCUCUACGGCGGUUAGAACCUAGCACCUGGGGCAAGAGGACGAUACUGCGGUCGCCCUGCCUCUGGUGCCCUGGACUGGGAUGAUCCGGCUUCAAAAGCCCUCUUACGUGACUUGGAUGCACUGUAGUUGUUAUUAUUGUUCUCCUGGGUCAGGCAGUGACUGAUAUAGGCAUUGAAGGUAGCCCUGGCUCCUGUACCCAUGGUCUUCAGCAUCUUUGGAUUCAAGCCUCUCUGGAAACUAGCAAUCUUCUUGGCCUCCGUGUUCACAAACUCAGGGGCAUAGCGAGCGAGGUUGUUGAAAGCGUGUAGAUACUCCUUCACAGAUUUCGUCCCCUGGGACAGCCUCAUGAACUCCCCGAUCUUCAUUUCAUCUAAACACGGAGGAAUAUAAUUUCCCCGAAAAGCGGUGGUGAAGCGGUUCCAGGUAAUUGGGGUCCCCUCUGGGUAGGUGGUACGGUGAUGGGACCACCAAAUCCCCGCGGGUCCUUGCAACUGAUGUGCCGCAUACUCAGCCUUAUGCUCUUCUGUCAUUCGGAGAAGACGAAACUUCUGCUCCAUAGUGUUGAUCCACUCAUCUGCCUCGAGCGGUUCCAAAGCCUCUUUGAAAAUUGGUGGCUUGGUAUCCAUGAGGUCCUUGAAUGAGCUGUAUUGGUUGACUUCACGGCCGCCCUGGUUAUCCCCACGACGGGUGUUGUCAGCUAUGUUACGCAGAGCCUCUUCCAUGUUGCGUUGCAUCUAUUCCAUGUUGCGUUGGCUCCCUAGAAACUGCGCGAAAAACACGUCCGCAGUGUACGGAGGAGGCGGUGGUGGUGGCGGUGUUGGUGCUCUGUCCUCAUUACGUUGAGCCCCACCUCCGGACGUACCUGCUCCACGACCCGGAUUGCUGUUACCCCCGCCACGUGUUUGCACCAUCUGCAUACGUCAAUGAUAAGCAAUCGUUAGGGGUCGCCAUCAACGGUAGAAAUGUGUAGAAUCAUGCCGUACUGAAUUUACUGAGGGAAUAAAUUCGCACAAUAAACAGAGGCACAACAAUUCAUCAUCUACGCACAACAUCACUAACAGAUUACUUAACAUUCACGCAACAAGGUUCGUGUACAUCCAACUUGUCAGCAUACAUACACUGGACUUUCAGCACUAACUCAUAAGUCUUACAUGGCCCAGAUCCAAAAGUACACGACAUGCCAUGCGACAUACAACACAAAAGAAGAAGGACUAGCUCUAGAGCCCUAGCAUCUAGUCGCUAUGAUCACUGUCCAUGCCGGAGCCCUCCUCAUCCUCAUCACCACUAGCAGCUGCUCCUAUCUUGGGAUCCGCAUCCAUCUCGCCCUCAGAGUCUAGCUCAGCUGCUCCAGGCAGGUGGUGAGGGUGGAGCUGGUUAUGCAGCUGGUGGAUCUCCUCAUGCAAGUUCUCGUUGUACUCCUCGGCAUUGGCUAGCUGCUGCUCUAGCUAUAGCUGUCGGGCCCUCAAAUUGUCCUCCUCGUGCCAGGUUUCAUUCAUCUAUCCAAGCUCAUGGACUAGCAUGCGCUCGCAGUUCCUGCCAGCAGUAGUCGCCCUAUGCCUCUGCUCACGCACUGCAAGCAGGUCCUGACUCAGCUCACUAUUCUUCUGGACUGCCUGAUCUCUCUCUCUGGUCACACAGGCCAACUCUGCCUGCAGCCUCUCAACCUCAGAGUCGAACUCACACUGCAACUGACGCUUCUCAUCCUGGACGAUAAGAAGAGACCCGGACAAGCGACCCAAACAACGCUCUAGGCCUCCAUAGGUCUUCAUCAACGCGUACAUGGCACUCAUAGCUGUGCUGUCACUGUGCUGGUCCUCAUCCGCACUCCUCUCUAGAGCAUUCACCUUGGACUGAUCCCACACCGAAGUGUAGGGGUCACCCUGGGGAAACACCCCAGCAAAGGUGUGGGCCAGCUCCUGUGGAAACCUCUCCAUGAGGUCACUCAGAACUGCGAAAGAUGCCCUGCUAGCACUGUGGAAAGGCGUGAUACCUCGGGACUCGUACACCCAGCCGCCCCAAGCAGGGUCUCCUCCACUGGUAGGGACAACUGCCUCAAUCCCCACCAGUGUACCGUCACCAAGAAGCUCCUUAUCCCAAUAGUAGCGAGGCUCCCUUUCUUCCGGAUACCCCCAUCGAACUGAGCACCCUCCAAAGCAAAGUGGGCAUCCCAAACUCCUCCAGGAACUUGCUCUUAUGUCGUGAGCUCCUAGCUGCCAACGGAUGGCGAGGGGCCCGCCCACCAGUGGACUUGCGAGCGGUGAGCCUAGUGCGCGCCAUCUGCUGCAAUGGAAUACCUUGGGUAAGAGCGAGGAUUACCUUUAAUUAUUUUAUUUAGAAUUGGGACAGAUUAAAUUAAGGGGGAAAGUAAGCAAUGAUAUGAGAUGAACAUGAUGCAUGCGCGAACUUACGAUCUCACAAACUUAGAAACAAAGGUUAACACUAAGUGGUAUAUGCGGUGGCACACAACGUUCUCUCAUAACGUAACUAACGUUCUAAGCGAGAACGUGGUUAGUGUACCUGGAGAAAACUCAUUUCAGCCCGCCCACAAUAUGCUAAUGCAAAACAAGAAUUUUAAAACUACACACUCCACAUACACAGACACCCAUCCAUGCAUGUGACAUGUUACUACCCACAUCAUCGCCCUAAUGACGGCAUCGCCUCUCCGGACGGAAUUCCCAACAUGCGGUACUGUUCCCAAAACACACCAAAACAUGUGUGCAUGAUACAGCACCUAACAACACUCCCCUAGACCGGCAGUGUAUCCGAUCAUGCUCUCACAGCUCUCACUUACCAUGGCGUAGAGGAAAAAUUGAUCCAUACAUUACCACUCAAAUGAAUGGCACUCAUACUAUUGCACGCAGUAUGAGCGACGAAAUAAAAUAUGAUGCAUUAACCCCCAAGUCAGUACUUAACUAGCCACCUUAGAGUCCUUAACUGGGCAUAAAGGAUAUGACCAUGGCAUACUAGAUAGUUUUUCCCAAACGUAGUUUAACACCUUAUUCAUCAUUAAUUAAUAAAAUCUCUUAUUAAACCGGUUUAGAUUUUGUUUAGAACAUACUUAUGAACAGUAACUCGCUAAACCUUGCUCCGAUGCCAGCUGUAACAGAACCGACCAAAUUAUAAGAGAUUAAGCCUAACAGUGACCAUUUGCACAGUCAAACCAUCAGGCUUAAGCCCAUAUAAUCCUGGUACUCCGUGAAAUCUCGAAGGAUUUCAAACCACACGUCGCACAACAGCCAAGAUCGUAAUAAGUUUAGCGGUCGCCAUCCACAAAUACAUCCAGAUUACAACAUUUAUAAAAUACAUCGGAGUACUUAAAGUUAUUACAAACCAAGUUCUUCAAGUAGCGGGAGCUUCAUAGUUCGAAAAUACAACACACACAUUAAGUCUGAUACAGUGCCAUAGUUCGGUCAUUCCCACAAAAGCAAAAGAGAAGACGGAGUGACCAUCGCCCUUGGUCUAGUCAUCACCCAUGGCCGGGUACAGACAGAGGAUGCAAUAACCAUAGUACAGUUGACCAUCUGCAAAACAACAUGGGAGUAGAACCCUGAGUACGAGAAGGUACUUGUUGAUAUUUGGUAACGCAAUUAGAAAAUGAUCCGCAAGCGCACGGAUAUCGGUGAGCAUUUCACCCGGGAGGUUAUCCAGAGUUAUCGUAUUUAUAUUUUUACCACUGGGAGAAAGGGUGCAUCUGACUAACCAAAUCUAUUGCUACUACCCCUUUAGGCUACAAAGAAUGUCUCUCGAUGUGAGUGAUGUAUAGAGAAGACUACAACCGUAGUCUCGUUCUAACCUUGGUAAGGAUGAUCUACUGUUCUAUUGGGGAGGCUCACGGAAUCUAGACAACACAAAGGAUGUUCGACCCGCACCUAUAAACCUACCCGUCCUGCUAACGAGAUGUGGAAUACAAAGGUAACUCGGAAAUGUCACGUUCCUCGCUACUACCACGGUCCAGCUAGUCAGGGGAUAUCUAUGAGUACCCUAGCCUAAACACCACGUUUACGCUAACAAGUGAUUACUCUAAUACUCAACCGGAAGAGGAUUAAAGUAAACUCAUAAACCAAAGAACAAUAAAACAAGAACUUACUAGUAUUAGAAGUCGAAUUACUGAAGAAUCUUAGAAGUAAGCCUCGGGUUAGGAUACUUGAUCCCGCAGGUACAACUCGGAGUAGACACCGACAAGCCGGCCUUCCUCCGAUCCACACCUCCAGUCUAUCUCUCUCAAUCUAGUAGAAACUAGAAGAUCUAUUUCUACUUUACAUUGGUUGCUAAGCCUAAAAAGAAAUAUUAUUUAGAGAAGAGGUUUUCCUUCGAGGGCACCCCUCAAUCUCUAUGAUAAUUUCUUGUCUUCUCCAGGGGCCAGGGGGGUCUCCUUAUAUAGUCCUCCUCCUCUAUGCGUUUUUGGUUCAGCAGGCGAUGUGGUACUAAACUUUCCACCAUAUCUCAUUAAAAUGCACAUAGGCCUUAAUGGACCAAAAUCUGAUUUGGGCCCAAUUAAUCCCGCAGCUCUUUUAUAUGGAGUCCUUCUUUUAUUAAUAUCUCUUGAUUCCGAACUCCAAAUAUAGCAAAUAAUAUAUGCAUUUCGAUCAGCUCGACGAGACCUUUGCAAUGGUGUACUCCAUUCUGUGAUUGGUGGAAACACCUGGGUGGGCGCCCAAGGGGGGUGGGCGGGCGCCCUGCCCCCGGGCCUGUUUGCCUUCUCGUUCGUUCCCGUGGCUUCUGGAGUCUUCUAGAUGGUAGAAAAUUGCGCGGUGCGUUGAUAUCUCUAUGUAAUCCCUACAUGUGGGCCUUUCUUCCUUAUUUCCUGAUAACCCCCUGCAGAAAUAGACAAACACCAAAACUCGUGGAAUUCUGACAAAUAAAACCCUUAGUCUAGAUGUUGAUUUCAUGUGGAUCCUUUUCUUUGUUUAUUUGAUAAUUAAAUUUGAUACUUAAGGACCAUCAACAAGCUCCCCCAAGCUUAACCUUUGCUUGUCCCUGAGCAAAGAUGAACUCAAGAGUUUCUGCAGUGGUUUCAUGCCUUAAAGGUAAAUGCGUUCAAACAAGAUCUCAUCUCUAGGUUAGGGUAAACUGUUAAGAUUUUAACUUACUCAUUUUACCUUCCACCAUGGGGUUUGCAACCGUCACUUGUGCCUUGAGCAGUUAAAAGAUAGAACGGUCAAGUCAAGCGCCAUGUCUCUUAUUCUUGAUCAGCUAUAGCUCUAGGGUUUUUGCAAAUUUUCAAAUAAAACUCAGAGAUUCCUUAUAUGACUCUCUCAGAUCUCUCUUUUGUGGUAUUUCUGGAUCCUUACCAAGGUAGUAAUGGUAUAUGCCUUCUCUCAAAGUAUGUGGUAUUUUUGGUAUGAGGCAUAGUGAUAUUGCCUUCUCUCUCACCCUACUCUAAUAAGGUUUUGAUAUUUGGAGCUCAUAGUUGGGAGACAGCUAAUACAUACUUACAAGACAUUUAUUGCAUAGUCAAACCAUGGAUCCAGAGAAACAAGUCAAUAAGUCAAAUCAAGAUGUGCAUGUGUGGCGAGUGAAUGGUGUAUGGUGAUGAUGGUGAUAACAAUGAUGAAAGUCUAAUUCUACUUUUGCUCUUUUAAGGGGAUACAUACCUUUCUUGCACUUUGAAGCUUUUUUGGGGAGAAUGAGAUGCUCUAUAUUUUAUUUUUCUUUCCUCUCAGGUGGGUAUCUUGUACCCCUAAUUCUACUGUCGGACACUUGUCCAUUUUUACCUCUCGCCUCACUUUUUCUUUUCUUCGAGGUUCCGGGCACUUGCCCCUUUUUAUUUCCUCGUAUUAUUUUUUUUUCUUCUUUUUUUUAGAGCACUCAUCUCCUGAAAGAAUGUAGCAAGUGGUAGUAACCAAAAUAACUGGAGCAUUUAUUUCACAGGGAAUAACAGGGAUAGGAAAAUAUUUUUAGCUAUUCUCUCCCGGAUUAGGAGUAGAAUAAUUUUGGGUGAAUGUGGAGAUGGAAAUGAGUGGAUAUAUGUGGAUGGUACUUCCGGAGUAGAAGUAGCAUGUAUGAGUGAACGUGCAAGUGAAUCUUGAUUUUAACCACAUGACAAGCUCCUAAGGGUCUACACAGCUUGACCACACUCAAUGCUCAUAAGCAGUAAAAAGUAAAUAUGUGGCUCAAAGUCUAGCAAGCAUGUAUAUAUGGCUGUGGUAGGAUUUUAAACUCUCAUCAUACAGGAACUCAUCAUGUGUUAUUUUAAAGAUUUUUUUCAAAGAUAAAAUUCUCCAGAAUUCUAGCAUCUCUAGGAACAGAUAAACAGCAGCUCAACCUUCCCAUAUCAUAUCCGUUAACGACUUAGACUUUAGAUCAAGUACUCUUCCCACAAGUUUAGGUUUAGAGCAAGCUUUAAAUUAUAACAGUUAUGCCUAAACUUGAGAGAGAUUUCAAUUUUAAGAACUAGUCAUGGCAGAGCAACUAUUCAUCAUUUCUAUGAGAGAGUUUAUCAUGAGUGUUCAUAGCAAACUUUAUUUAUUUAUUUAUUUAGCAAAUUAAGCAAAGAUAUAUAUAUAAGCAUAAAAUCUUUAUUUGGUUUUUCCUGGUUUAUGUAUAUUUAUAUUUUAAUAUAGUAUAAGUAUAAAGAUAGAUAGAUAGAUAGAUAGAUAGAUAGAUAGAUAGAUAGAUAGAUAGAUAGAUAGAUAGAUAGAUAGAAAUACUUAUCGGGAUAAAUGGGGGUGCUCUCCCCCAAGCUGAAUUUUGACGUAAUUUCUCUUGAUGUAGUUAGCAGGUGGCAAAGGUGUACUUGAAAGUCAGCAGUAUUCUGAUAGCGAUUAAAAUGUCCUCCGUCUGCUAGUCUUCUUGAUUCUUAAAUCCUGUGGAGCUCAAAUAGACAACAAAGCUUUGUGGAACUGGUCAAGUGUUAGCAUAAAUACCUAGCCUUUAUCAUGUUGAGCCUCCUCAAUAAAUAUUAUUUAUUUAGCAGGAUCAUGCACUUAUUAUUUUUAUAUUUUUUUAUUGUAAAAUGAAAACUUAUUUAUUUUAUUUUUAUGCCAUGAGCAUACUCACAGUGAAUGUACUUAUGAGUUUUAUGCCAUGAGCAUACUCACAUGGGGCUUACUAUUUUUUUUUAACAUUUUUAUUUUCUUUUCAAGAUAGCAUGAACCUGAUUAACUAAGCAAACUAUAAUUGAAUAAUUGAAAGGAAAAGGAUAACUACCAAGUUUACCUCUUGGCAAGGUGUUCGGUGUUUUUAAGUCCUCCGAACGGGACUCUCCGUUUUCUCAGUCGUCCUGGGAUUCGCUAGGUGGCGUAGUCGGUGAUUCCGGCGGCGCCUCUCUUCGUGUAUAACUAUCUUCUCUCUCCACACCUGACUCGGUGCUACGGUCUGCUCAGGACAGUUCUAUUCAAGCUGUAUGUCUUCAGUCCUUAUCACUUCUCCUUCGUAGUCUACCCAUCCGUCCUUGAUGAUUUGCCUCCUCUGGUUGCGGUUGCGUUGUCUUCUUCUUGUCCUGACCUGCUUAGAGUCUUCAACUAUAUAGUUAUGGUCAGUAAAAUAGUUGCGUACCUUCUCAGAGGGAAAGUACAUGUGGACUUCUCCGGUUCCAAUGUAGAUGAUGGCUUUGAUAGUGUUGGAGGAACGGUCGUCCAAGGAUGGUAGGUAGAUCGUACUCGUCUUCUUCCAUGUCAAUGUUCUGAAAAUCAUCUGGAGCUGAAUAUAUAUUGGUUGUAGGGGCAUGGUUCCAUGCAGGAGCUGAUAAGUGACUACGGUCAUUACGUUGACGUCACAUCCGGUGUCGUAGAGUGUCUUCUAAAAAGAGUAUCUGUUGAUUGUGCACUCAAUGCUUGGAACACCAGGGUCGUCCUUCUUGAUCAAGAAAGGUGACUUGAGUCGACGAUCUUGACCUCUUACGAUAAGGAUCCAAUGUUUUAAGUCUUCUGGACAAGACUUCUCACUGUCUUCAUCCUUUAGGUGCAUCAUUUGAUUAGGUGUGGACCUUGACGUCUGCACCUCUUGAUACGGUGUCACCUAUGUUCUUUGUUUGCCCAGCAGUUCGAAGUGCGGUGUUGGCAAUAUCCUGCUCAGUGUGUUUGUGCUCAUAGAUCCAGGUCCUUCACUUGGUGGAGUCUAGGAGUUGUAAAACUCCUUCAGGUCUUGCUCGAAGUGUACCUAUUCAUAGAGACAAGGCAGAGAUCAAGUGCAUGGGCCCUGAUGGUGGAAAACACCAACAGAACCAAAAGUAUAUUUAUUCUUCUCUAACCUUAAGCAUAGUGAGCAAGACAAAGUUGAUGGAUAAUAAGAUCAGGAGUGUAGUAUUUAAAACAUUUGUCAGAUCAGAUGGCUCAACCUAAUGGAAAGAUAAUCUAUCUAUAUUUAUGUUUUGUUUAUAUCUUCCAAAGAUUGAAUGUGCGACAUAUUAACUUAUAUGAUUAGGAGUGUGGGAUCACGGAGGUAGUACUAAGAACAAAGAUUAAAGGACUAAACAUGUUGAAUUAAUUGGGUUGAUUAAUUUGGAGCUACAAAUCAUACAUGUUUGUCACUUUUAUUCAUGUGUAUGCCAGAACCAAAGAGAAGCUUAUAAAAGCAAUAGUCAAGUACCUUAAGGUGUUACCUUACUUGAAGAGUGACGGUACAGUAUCACCUUGUGGAAGCUUUCCUUUCUUAGCGGUUGUGCAUCGUGUUUGUGGCACCCUCCAGGGAUCAUCUCUUAUGAGCUACGUCUUCCUUGUGUAAAUUGUUAAACUUCAUGUGUCCCUCUCCUUGUCUCCAAUGUGAGUUUAUCUCAGGACUUCCCAGGUUGAUAUUGAAAGUUUUCCUGCAGGGGUUAGUACAACAAAAUAUCCCAUAUCUACUAUAGCAUACUAUCGGCUCCAAAAUCAACCUAGACACCAUGUCUAAUUUGAUUUAGAAGGGCAUUUUAUCCUAAGCACCACGCUUAAUUUAAAUGCCAUUGGAAGUGUGUCCAGUACUUCCAAACUAACACUUACUAGGAUAAACAAAGGUAGCAUGAUGGCUUUUAUAGAGAUCUACUCAAGUGGAGAUGAAGUAGUGUACUUAACAAAUUGAGCAUGUCUCAAAGGUAAGGACAACCAAUAUAGUGUUGACGGUUCUUAAGUAUCAAUUUUAAUUAUCAAAUAAACAAGAGAAAGGACCAAUAUGCAACCAUGACCUAGAAUUAGGGUUUGAUUUGAUAGAAUUCCACGAGUUUUGUUGUUUAUCUGUUUCUGCAAGGGGUUAUCAGGAAAUAAGGAAGAAAGGCCCACAAGUCGGGAUUACAUAGAGAUAUCAACGCACCGCACGAUUUUACAUCAUCUAGAAGACUCCAGAAGCCACGAGACCGAAGCGGAGGCGAAACUGGGCCAGGCCCAGGGCGCCCGCCCUGGUAGCCUGGGCGCCCACCCCCCUGUUGGAGCCAAAUCAGGACUCUUUCGCUCGGUAUAUUCCACCGACCUAUUGGAUCAAGAAAAACAUAGUACCACCUCGCCUAUCGACCCAAAAACGCAUAGAAGGGGAGGACUAUAUAAGCAAGGCCCCCUAGCCCCUGGAGAAGACAUGAAGAAAUUAUCAUAGAGACUGAGGGGUGCCCUCGAAGGAAAACCUCUUCUCUAAUUAAUAUUUCUUUUUAGGCUUAGCAAUCAAUGUAAGGUAGAAAUAGAUCUUCUAGUUUCUACUAGAUUGAGAGAGAUAGAGUGGAGGUGUAGAGUGGAGGAAGCCCGGCCUGUCGGUGUCUACUCCAAGCUUGUACCUGCGGGAUCAAGUUCUCCUAACCCGAAGCUUGCUCCUAGGAUUCUUCAGUAAUUCGACUUCUAAAUUCUAGUAAGUUCUUGUUUUAUUGUUCUUAUGGUUUAUGAGUUUACUUUAAUCUCUUCGCAUAGAGUUUAGAGUAAUCAUUGCUGGCGUAAACGUGGUGUUUAGGCUGGGGUACUCAUAGAUCUUCCCUGACUAGCUGGACCGUGGUAGUAGUGAGGAACGUGACAAUUCCGAGCUACCUUUGUAGAUCACAUCUCGUUAGCAGGAAGGAUAGGGUUUAUAGGUGCGGGUUGAACAUCCUUUGUGGUGUCUAGAUUCCGUUAGCCUCCCUAUUAGAACAGUAGAUCAUCCUUACCAAGGUUAGAAGGAGACUACGGUUGCAGUCUUCUCUAUUUAUCACUCACAUCGAAAGACAUUCUUUGUGCCUAAAGGUUAGUAGUAAUAGACCGGUUAGUCAGAUGCACUCUUUCUCCUAGUGGUAAAAAAAUAAAUACGAUACUCUGGAUAACCUCCCGGGUGAAGUGCUCACCGAUAUCCGUGCGCUUGCAGAUCAAUUCCUUAUUGCGUUCCCAAAUAUCAACAUAUAGCAGCAUGGAAAGGAUGUUUUAUGUAAAGUACUCCCCCAAAAUUCAAGAUUGGAUGAAUUUAAUUUAAUGUUGCAUGAUGAUUGGUUGGGCAUACCUUGCGCUUGUCAUUCAUUCGAUCUUCUUGCUCCAAUCCUGGAAAGGUUAGUGGCAAGAAUACCUGAAGGAAUAUUUCUAUAAUUAUCUCAAUAUGCUCCAUACACAAGGCAAUGUUGCAAAUAAUUAGAAGUUCAUGUUACGAUCUGAUAAGUGUUUGCUAAGCUUAUCCUUGGGAAACCAUCAAGUUAUGUUGGUGAAGUGGUUUCCCCUCCAACACCUACCUAUAUCAAGAUCAACUCAACGAGAUCUACAACAUUUAUUAUAGACAUAUGCAUCGACAACCACUCUUUUAAAGUUUUUAUAAAUAGAAAGGAAGAGGGGGUUGGAGAUCUCAAAUGUGGUGAUGAUGGAGAGACCGAUUGAUUGGGGAGAUGUUUUAUAUGAGCAAGGACUUGGUAAGGUAUUUAUGAAAUAACUUCCAAGCUCACUGUUGUUUCUCUCAUUCUCAAACUCCAAGGAUGAUUCUUCAUGAAUGCUUAAAAUUCUUCUAGGAUUGUCUCUCAAGUUUGUUUUAUCUAUCCAUUCAAUGGUGAUAGCACAUGGAUUUUUAAUGCCCUUUAGCCAUUGAUGUUGCUCUUCUCGAUCCUCCUUGUGAUCUUGGUGACUCUUAUGCAUGGGAUGUCUAGAGAGAUUCAUAGGAUUAUCGGGAGGUUCAAGAGAAAGAGCAUAGAGAUUAUUAGGCUCAAGGAUGGGAUGGAUAUCCGAAUUAUGGGAUUGAAAUGUUUGGAAAUUGGCUAUGGAAACUUCCUUUCCUCGUCUGGGAGAUGAUUCCUUCUCUAUCUCUAAGAUUUUUCUAUGAAGACUAGUGAAAGAAGGAUGUCCACAAAUGAAGACAUACCUUCAUUUACUAAUAGAUAAAGAAAGAAAGACACUACCAAAUGUUAUAUGAUUAAGACCAAUGUGAAAAUAUUUAGGAAAAACAUGGUCUUGUAGGGCUAGGUCUAAACCAGAAUUUAUAGAAAGAUUAACAGAUUCCCUAGGUGUAGCUAAAAGUGCAUUAUCUUCUUGAUUAAAAGAUAGGACCUCAGCUAUAGAAAAGGGUUGGUUUUGACCUAUUGCAAUCAACUCCGGACACAGAUCAUAAUUAGGGGCAGGACGUGUUGACUCCCAUGGUCUAUGGCUGGUCUCCGAAGGUGCAAAGAAUUCAAUAAUAGGUACGGAAUUUAAGUUAUCCAUAAAGAUAAAAAGAUAAAAGAAUAAAAGUAUAAAAGUAUAAUACAAGAUAAUAGCAAGACUCAAAGUUAUCUCAGCAAACCGUCUUUCUUCCCGGCAACGGCGCCAGAAAUGCUUGUUGAUAUUUGGUAACGCAAUUAGAAAAUGAUCCGCAAGCGCACGGAUAUCGGUGAGCAUUUCACCCGGGAGGUUAUCCAGAGUUAUCGUAUUUAUAUUUUUACCACUGGGAGAAAGGGUGCAUCUGACUAACCAAAUCUAUUGCUACUACCCCUUUAGGCUACAAAGAAUGUCUCUCGAUGUGAGUGAUGUAUAGAGAAGACUACAACCGUAGUCUCGUUCUAACCUUGGUAAGGAUGAUCUACGGUUCUAUUGGGGAGGCCCACGGAAUCUAGACAACACAAAGGAUGUUCGACCCGCACCUAUAAACCUACCCGUCCUGCUAACGAGAUGUGGAAUACAAAGGUAACUCGGAAAUGUCACGUUCCCCGCUACUACCACGGUCCAGCUAGUCAGGGGAUAUCUAUGAGUACCCUAGCCUAAACACCAUGUUUACGCUAACAAGUGAUUACUCUAAUACUCAACCGGAAGAGGAUUAAAGUAAACUCAUAAACCAAAGAACAAUAAAACAAGAACUUACUAGUAUUAGAAGUUGUUGGGUAUUUUAAACGCAAACAGAAAAAUCCGUAAGCGCACGGAUAUCGAUGUAGCCUUCACCCGGGAGUAUUCCAGAGUAUCGAUUUUCCACAGGGAACGUGAGUGUCCUAAUUAAGAUUCAAGAUCGCCCAAGGAUAACUAUAUAAUUAUUUUUUUUUGGUGGGAAGAGAGGAAGUUUCCUGAGAGUUCUCUAGUUGAUCUAAGAAUCAAGAAUUACUUCAAGAUUAUCUAUUUCGGGACAUCAGAGCACUAACCACAGAAAGAGAUGAGAAGGGGGCUAGGAAGGUCUGACUACGGUCCUACAAACACCGAUCCGAACGAGGUGGAAUACGUCGACCGUUAGGGCUGUCACUACCCUAAGGCUACCACAACAAUCCGCAGGAUUGGGUGCAAUUCCAGGUAAUUGCAAGACUAAACACCACGUCUAAUCUAUUAAUUACUACUCUAAUGUUGCAAAGAUUAGAGCACUUGAUGCAAGCGGGAAUCCAAUAAAUAACUUGAAUGUAAAUAAAAGUAAUUAAAGAACUCAGGAUUAUGAAUUGAAGAACCUGGAGAACGAUGAAGAACGAACCAGUUGCGGCAAAAGUACAAUGUUGAGGAAGAUCCGACAGAUCCGGCUCCUCCUCCUCCGCUCUCCUCUUCUCUCUCCCUAUUUUCUUGAUUACAACUAGAACUAACUAGAACUAGAACUAGAGGAACUAGAACUAGAACUAGAUGAACUAGAACUAGAUCUAGAUGAACUAGAGGUAGAACUAGAAGAACUAGAGGGAUCCUCUCUACUUGGAUGAAGAAUUGAAACCCUAGCUUUGAUUCUGUAGAAGAGGUAUGAUCUUCAGGGGCCAGGGGGUCUGGUUUUAUAGUCCCUUCAAGUGAAUCUAGGCCGUCGGAUCAAACCGACAUUGAUCGCAUGGUUUUCCUUGAUCCUUUAGGUCGGUGGAGCAUAAUCCGCGAAACGUGUCCUGAUUGGGCACUGUAGCUGGGCGGGCGCCCAGGAGAGUUGGGCGGGCGCCCUGCCUCCGAGCCCGAUUUCCUUCCCGUUCGUUCCCGUGGCUUCUAGAGUCUUCUAGAUGAUAGAAAAUUGCGCGACACGUUAAUAUCUCUAUGUAAACCCGACGUGUGGGAGUUUCUUCCGUAUUUCCUGAUAACCCCCUGCAGAAAUAGACAAACACCAAAACUCGUGGAAUUCUGUCAGAUAAAACCCUAAUUCUAGGUGUUGGUUGCAUUUGGAUCCUUUUCCAUGAUUAGUUGAUGGUUAAAUCUGAGCAUUAAGGACCGUCAACAGAAGCAAGCCUCGGGUUAGGAGACUUGAUCCCGCAGGUACAACUCGGAGUAGACACCGACAGGCCGGCCUUCCUCCGAUCCACACCUCCACUCUAUCUCUCUCAAUCUAGUAGAAACUAGAAGAUCUAUUUCUACUUUACAUUGGUUGCUAAGCCUAAAAAGAAAUAUUAUUUAGAGAAGAGGUUUUCCUUCGAGGGCACCCCUCAAUCUCUAUGAUAAUUUCUUGUCUUCUCCAGGGGCCAGGGGGGUCUCCUUAUAUAGUCCUCCUCCUCUAUGCGUUUUUGGUUCAGCAGGCGAUGUGGUACUAAACUUUCCACCAUAUCUCAUUAAAAUGCACAUAGGCCUUAAUGGACCAAAAUCUGAUUUGGGCCCAAUUAAUCCCGCAGCUCUUUUAUAUGGAGUCCUUUUAUUAAUAUCUCUUGAUUCCGAACUCCAAAUAUAGCAAAUAAUAUAUGCAUUUCGAUCAGCUCGACAAGAUCUUUGCAAUGGUGUACUCCAUUCUGUGAUUGGUGGAAACACCUGGGCGGGCGCCCAAGGGGGGUGGGCGGGCGCCCUGCCCUCGGGCCCGUUUGCCUUCUCGUUCGUUCCCGUGGCUUCUGGAGUCUUCUAGAUGGUAGAAAAUUGCGUGGUGCGUUGAUAUCUCUAUGUAAUCCCGACAUGUGGGCCUUUCUUCCUUAUUUCCUGAUAACCCCCUGCAGAAAUAGACAAACACCAAAACUCGUGGAAUUCUGUCAAAUAAAACCCUAAGUCUAGAUGUUGAUUUCAUGUGGAUCCUUUUCUUUGUUUAUUUGAUAAUUAAAUUUGAUACUUAAGGACCGUCAACAGUACUCAGCUAGACUUACCCGACAUAAAUUAAAAUAAAGACUCUUCAAGGAUCAUGAAGGCUAUAUAGUGAGGUAGCUGACGACCAUUUUGCAAAACCGCAGAAUUCUAUUAUCAUCACCUAGAUAAAUCUUUUCUUCUUUUAAUUUGCUCAAGUUGAAGGUAUCAUUACCUAUUAUCAAGGUUUUGCACCUGAACUAUUACAAGCAAUUAUAAAGAUAUGAUAGUACCUCAUCAUAGCAUUCAUAAACCAUUUAUCAUUAUAACCCAAGUGCUCCAUAGUCCUUACUACGAGGACGAAGCUCAUGUCAAGUGCUCACUAUCCAGGAGCGAUGGCGAUUCGAAUCGAUUUCUAACCAGCUGGCGAGGUAUUCCCCACACAAACCACACUCACUGAUCAAGUGAGCUACAGAUCACCGUAUUACACUAUCCAGGACCAAUUCGCGGGUUCGGCAGGCACCGCCAGUACCCGAGGACCGUUCCGGCGACCGAGGUAUCCAAGGUAUACCAAGGUUGCGCGCCGCGCCCUCGUCAUUCUCCUCAACCAUCACCAAUACAGCGCAUGGCGGCUCGAUUCCCGGCCCGGAUAGUGUUCAGGCUUCGCGGUCGGAACGGCUUAUCCUUCCAGCUAAGUGUGGGGCAUGCGUUCAACAUGACAAGAGGGCCGUCAACGACCGGUCCUUAAUCGACACAGGCAGAGGCACUAUGGUCAAACCACCAUAAGACCCGGCCUGGUCUCAAAUUCCAUUCCACACUUGGUUAUUCUUUUCCCAAAGCAACCACUGCUUACCCAAGCAGGUAUCCACCUAUAUCUCGCAGGUGACCGGAAAUCACCCGACUUCUACCGGACUAUGCAAGCUAAGCAUCGACUCCGUACCUAUCUACAUAGGACAAGGUAGAUAAAUGAGGGGUGAUAUCAAGGAGUACCAAUGCAUCAACGGUAUCAACCAACUCCUAUCACUUAGAUGCAGUAAUAUAGAACAAGCAUAAUAUAUCCUGUAAGUUAGCGAGAAUAGGGAGACUUAGAAUGCUCUGGGGCUUGCCUUUCUCAAACAUGCUGGCUCGGUGAUGCGGACACUCCUGCAGUUCCUCUCUGGACUCCUGUGCUUCCGGAGGUUCCUGCUCGUGAAUCUCCUCUGGUUCCUCGGGUCCCACCUCGUUCUCCUGCGAGCCUGUAUGAUGCAUGUGUGCUCAUGAGUGGAGUGCGAGAUGCCCGAGUGGAUGCUUGUAUGAGAAGGUACCAAAGGAUCAUGACAUGAUGCAUAGAUGAUACACUUGGUCAUGCUCAUUACAAGGUAGUCAACAUCAUCCAGGAACAGACAAUUGGACUAAACAUCUAGUGCAUUCUCUUCUACAAGUAUUUUUCAAGUGUGACCAGCAACCCACAAGUUGCUUCAAAGAUACACCAAACCCAAACUUAUUCUAUUCAACCUAUACAUACAACAAUUCAUAAUUUUCUUUAUUCAUUUCUAGGCCCAUUAAAUUUACAUGCAGUUCUGUUCAUGAAUAAAUUCCUCAAAAAUCACAGGAGACUACCAGUCAAGCAUAAAGUCUACUGUAAAUUUUUCAUAAUUUUUGGAUACUUAUUUUGAGCUACAAAAAUCACAGGAUUAAUUAAUAAGGUAAGUAUAAUCACUCUACUGUGAUAUAAGUGUCAAACAACAGAUUUCAUAUUUUUACAAUUUGUCUAAUAUCAUAAGAUACACCCACAAAAUUUUCCAGAUUUAUUGCAUGAUCCAAUUAAUUUUUAAAAAUCAUAAACCACUGCCAUGCAAGCAUUUAAAUUACCAUAAAUUCAUUUAUACACCAAAUAAUAUGUAGCAAUAUUUUCCCAGUGAGUAAACAUACAUGCAGAGCCAACAAAUCAAGUUUCACAUUUUUCUCAACCAUAUUUUAAUUACUAUGCAUUUUCAAAGUUUAGCAAAAAACAUGGAUUAAAUAUUUUCAUACAGAAAAGUUACUCAAACAUGACAUGCAAUUACAUCAAACUGUAGAUCUGGAAAUAUAGAGCACACCAAAAUUUAUUUCAUCAAAUUUCGAGCUGUAGAACUCAAGAUAUGAAUUUUAAAACUUUCGAAUCGAUUUCUGGAAAACAUUUAUUCAAGAAAACCGACGAAAAAGGCUAAACACACCCUGAUCUACACCCACCGGGGUCCCCCUGUGACUGACAGUGGGCCUCUGGCCCCACUGUUCAGCGAGACUGAGAGGGAGCUCACCUCCGACGAGCAGAUCUCGCCGGCGGUGAGGUCCCCGGCCACGGGGUGAGCACCAACGUGCUCCCCGCAGCGAGGCGCACCCAGCGGUACUCUCGGAUUGACCGGAGGAUGGCCGGAGCACCUCCGACGAGCGUGCAUGGUGGCACAGCGGCGCUGCUCGCCGUGGCCAGGCCGCUCGGGCGUGGUAGAGCGUGCGCAUACGGCUCUCCGAGCUUCCUCACCACCCUACCGACCUAGCGCAACCAAAAACCAGCAAAAAGAGGCAGGGAAACGCAAGAUACGUCGCGGCGGAGUACUCCGGCGAGCUCGGGGUAACUCCGGCGAGCUAUUCACGGCGCUCGAUGGACUCUCACCUCGGUAGAACGCUCGCACAAGCUUACCCUAACGAUGGCAAAGGCGCUGGUGGCUUCGGUGUCGAGUUUUGGUCACCGGAGUGGCCGGCGGUGAGCAGCGGAGCUGCUCCGGCGAUGGCGCCGCGGCGGAGUUCUACGGCUCGGUUGCGCUCGCGAGCGGAGGGAGGAAGGAGAAGGGCGUGGGCGACAGGAUGGAGGGAAUGGCCUGGGAGCCCGAGCCGGCGUCCCGACCAGGGGGUGUUGGAGGCCGGCCGCGGCGCGCUCCUCGCCAGCGUACGGCCGCCAUGUGGCCGACGCUGGCUGGGACGAGGCGCGUCCGCGCGCGGGAGAGAGGGGGAGGGGGAAGCAGGCCGGGCCGCUCGCUGGGCCGAAAGGGAGGCGGGGUUGGCCCGGCAGCGCCUGCCCCUUUUCAUUUUUUUUUGAAUUUCUUUUCUCCAAAUCCUUUCUAAAUUCAUUUGGACCAAUUUAAAAUCAUUUUCACCUCUUGCUCCCAAAAACAAAGUUGUUCCAAAACAAAAACCCCACAACUUUGUUUUAAUAAGCAAGACCAAAUUCCCAACAGAAUUUGAAUUACAAAUUAAAACUAGUUCUAGGUUUUCAAAUAAAUUCAAUUUGGGGAUUUUUGUAUAAAUUCCAUUUCUCAAAUUCUAUAGCUCCAAAAAUUGCACAAAAAUAUUCUUAAUUCUUCUUACACAUAAUUCAACCUAGUUUGAAUAUUUCACAUUUUUAGAAGCAAGCAUCAUAUUUUUAGCAUAAUUAAAACACAUGAAAUAAAGCACACAAAAUCAUGUUUUUGGGAUGAAUGACAUGCUCAUGAUGCUAUGCUUGAUGAGAAUGCUUAUGCAUGUUGUAAUAGGGCUAAAUGCAUGCUUAACACCUAGGGUGUUACAGGGGCCAUUGCUCAGGCUGGCAAGGCUAUCGAGGAUCUCCGCGUUGCCAACACUGUGCUGGCCCGCUCCACCAAAGAGAUCGAGAGGGCCAACACCAGACUAGUUGGCGAGAACACGGCCUUGGAGGAGAGUGUCCGUAGUACGUUUCCUCUGUCGGAUUUCUUUUUUGAGGUGUGCUUGGUUUUUCCUAAAGUUUCUUGUAUUGGCAUUUACAGGGCUUAAGGACGAACUCUUAGCCACCCAAGUUGAGGCCCGUAGUGCUAAGGCCCAGCUCGAGGCGGAGGUUGCUUUGAACCGUCGAGUGCGGACGGCGAUAAACGACCUCUCGACCUCUUGGGAGGUCGAGCCUAUGGACGAGUCGAAGGAGGUCGAGCCUAUGGUCGACCAGCUGUGCUACUUAGGCGCGAUGCUGAGAGAUCGGGUGCGGGAUGCCCUCCACAUCGGGGUGAAGCGGGCGAUGGCGGUUGUCUGCUCGGGCUUCACCUACGACAUGGAGGUGGUGUCCCACGGCUUCGUCACCGACAUCUCCAUGACCGACGCGGAGAACGAAGAGAGGCUCCAUGCCUUGAUCGACGACGCGGAGGCUCCUGGAGAGAGGCUGGCCAAGCUUUCUGAGCCUGAGGUGCUUCCUCCUGAGACUAGCUCGGGCGCAGGCGAGGGUGGUGAGGAUCGUGCUGUAGACUAAGGCCUGCGAGCCUUCUUUGGGUGCUGGGGGCCCCUUGUAUAGUACUCCUAUUAACUUGUUUUUAAGGGAUAUGGUGUCUUUAAGUAUUUGUUAAAUGUUUAUCUGUCUUUCCGCUCAAGGCUCUUUUAUUUCCCUUUGCGCCUACGUUUGUAUUCCUCGUUCGAUCUUUUGUCAAAAACAGCCUGGAUCACCUCAAGGGUGGGGAAGUGAGUAGAGUUUCCAUAGCCUGGGGGCGUAGGAGUUCUCAGGCUUGUUGUCCCUCGUCCCUUAAGGGGCUGGAGGCACCUCAACUUACUCGAACGUGCAAGGUUUACUAGGUUUCUUGGCUUUUUCGACACUUGGGGGGGUCGCCCCCCCUGGUAGCCCCCGAGGGAGUAUCGACUAUGAUGGGUCAUAGUUGGUACUCCCUUCUGACGUCGAGAUUUGAGAAAGUAAAUCGCUCGAGGGAAAGACUUCAUUUAUUCAUACAUUCAUUUACAAGGCCUUGGUACAGAAUGUACGUAGGAACAUAAAGUUUUGAACUUCUAGGGGUAGAAUCGACGUAGCUGUUCGAUGUUCCACGCGUUGGUGAAGAUCGUCCCCUUUUCAUCCGCGAGCUUGUAUGUCCCUGGCUUCAGGACCUCGGCCACCACGUAUGGGCCCUCCCAAGGUGGAGUCAGCUUGUGGCGUCCUUGAUUACUUUGCCGGCGUCGUAGGACAAGGUCGCCCACGUUUAAGUCCCUCUUGCGCACGUGGUUGUCGUGGUAGCGUCGAAGUCUCUGCUGGUAUCUGGCAGAGUUAAGGAGGGCCAUGUCUCGAGCCUCCUCGAGUUGGUCGACCAUGUUUUCUUGAGUCUCCUUAUUUGAUUGCUCGUUGUACGCUUUAAGUCGAGGGGACCCAUACUCGAGGUCUGUGGGGAGGACGGCCUUAGAGCCAUAGACCAUGAAGAAUGGGGUGUAUUUUGUGGCCCUGCUUGGUGUUGUCCUUAGGCUCCAUAGGACCGAGGAAAGCUCCUCGACCCACUUUUUGCCGAAUUUCUUCAAGCGAUUGUAGAUCCUUGGCUUGAGUCCUUGUAAAAUCCUACCGUUGGCACGCUCGACCUGGCCGUUAGUUCGAGGGUGGGCUACUGCAGACCAGUUCACACGGAUGUGAUGCUGAUCGCAGAAGUCCAAGAACUUUUUGCCGGUGAACUGAGUGCCGUUGUCGGUGUUGAUGACGUUGGGAAUCCCAAACCGGUGGAUGAUGUCGGUGAAGAAAAGGACGGCCUGCUCGGAGCGGAUGUUGGUGAUGGGUCGAGCCUCGAUCCAUUUGGAGAAUUUGUCGAUGGCCACGAGCAAGUGGGUGUACCCUCCUUUCGCCUAUUGUAGGGGCCCUACUAAGUCGAGCCCCCACACCGCAAAUGGCCAUGUAAUGGGGAUCAUCUGAAGAGCGUGGGCGGGCAGAUGCGUCUGUUUGGCGUAGAACUGGCACCCAUGACAUGAGCGUACGAUCUUGAUGGCAUCUGUUACGGCCGUUGGCCAGUAGAAGCCUUGUCCGAAGGCGUUACCUACGAGGGUCCGUGGAGCGGCGUGGUGGCCGCAAGCCCCCGAGUGUAAGUCCUCGAGGAGUUUCCGGCCUUCUUCCACGGUGAUGCAACGCUGCAAGACCCCCAUCGGGCUUCGUCGAUAUAGCUCAUUGCCUUCGCCAUAAAUCACAUAUGACUUGGCCUGUCGAGCGAUACGGCGGGCCUCAGACCGAUCUUCUGGCAGCUCGCAGCGGAUUAGGCAGUCGAGGAACGGUGUACGCCAGUUGAGCGGUCGACCGGGCCGCUGUUCUACCUCCAUCACCUCAACUGCCAUCAAUGGUGCGUCGACGGUGUCGGUUGGCUGGGCGAGAGCGGCAUCGACGCCAGCCCCCAAGCCCAAGUCGACGGAUGGCUCGUGAAGAUCUUUCGAGAACGCGUCAGGUGGUACCGUGCCUCAGGUCGACGCGAUCUUGGCGAGUUCGUCGGCUGCCUCGUUGUAGCGUCGGGCGACAUGGACGAGCUCGAGGCCAUGGAAUUUGUCCUCGAGUCGACGGACUUCUUUGCAGUAUGCCUCCAUUUUCGGGUCGUGGCAGCUUGAAGUCUUCAUCACUUGGUCGAUGACAAGUUGGGAGUCGCCUCGGACGUCGAGGCGUCGGACCCCUAGCGCGAUGUCGAUCUUGAGACCGUUGACGAGGGCCUUGUAUUCUGCGACAUUGUUGGAUGCGGCAAAGUGAAUCCUGAUGAUGUACCUCAUAUGGACGCCCAAGGGCGAGAUGAAUAGCAGGCCGGCCCUGGCCCCCAUCUUCAUGAGUGACCUGUCGAAAUACAUCAUCCACAGCUCCGACUGGACCUGAGUUGGGGGAAGCUGGGAGUCUGUCCAUUCCGCGACGAAGUCUACCAGAGCUUGCGAUUUGAUGGCCUUGCGAGGCGCAUAAGUGAGAGUCUCACUCAUGAGCUCGACCGACCAUUUAGCUAUUCUUCCCGUGGCCUCCUUACUCUGGAUUAUCUCACCCAGGGGGAAAGAUGAGACCACCAUGAUAGGGUGGCCGAGGAAGUAGUGCUGCAGCUUACGGCGGGCGAGGAUUACGGCAUAGAUCAGCUUCUGGAUUUGGGGGUAACGUCCCUUGGUCUCUGAGAGCACCUCGCUGUCGAAAUAUACUGGCCUCUGGACUGGCAACGCAUGCCCCUCCUCCUGCCUUUCGACCACCACCACUGCACUGACAACCUAGGUCGUCAAGGCAACAUAAAGGAGCAGUGGUUCCGCAGGUUGAGGUGGGACUAUGACUGGUGCUUAGGUCAGUGUUUUCUUCAGAUUUUCGAGGGCUCCCUCGGCCUCGGGGGUCCAAGAAAAACGAUCGACCUUCUUCAGGAGUCGAUACAGCGGUAGCGCCUUUUCUCCUAAUCUCGAGAUGAAACAGCUCAGCGCCGCUAGGCAUCCCGUGACUCUCUGCACACCCUUGAUGUCUCGAAUCGGCCCCAUCCUUGUGAUGGCUGAGACUUUCUCGGGGUUGGCCUCGAUGCCGCGCUGGGAAACAAUGUAGCCCAAGAGCAUGCCUCGUGGCACACCGAAAACGCAUUUCUCGGGAUUCAGCUUGAUCUGGUUGGCGUGUAAGCAGCUAAAGCGAUCUUGAGGUCCUGGAUCAGGUCUCCUUGACGCUUUGAUUUGACGACUAUGUCGUCGACAUAGGCCUCGACCGUCGACCCUAUAUGCUUGCCAAAUACGUGGAGCAUGCAACGUUGGUAUGUGGCUCCCGCAUUUUGAAGCCCAAACGGCAUGCUUACAUAGCUGUACAUCCCGAGAGGUGUGAUGAAAGAGGUCGCGAGCUGGUCGGACUCUUUCAUUUUUAUUUGAUGGUAACCAGAAUAUGCAUCAAGAAAAGAAAGGGUUUCACAUCCCGCAGUAGAAUCAACAAUUUGAUCAAUACGUGGUAAUGGAAAGGGAAUUUUCGGACAUGCUUUAUUUAAACUCGUAUAAUCGACACACAUCCUCAUUUUCCCAUUCUUUUUCUUAACUAGUACAGGGUUUGCUAACCAGUCAGGAUGAUGAACCUCCUUGAUGAAUCCGGCCGACAAAAGCUUGUGGACCUCCUCGCCAAUGAUCUUGCACUUCUCCUCGUCGAAUCGGCAUAACCGUUGCUUCACUGGCUUGGAACCGGCUCGAAUCUGCAAGGAGUGCUCGGCGACCUCCCUCGGUAUGCCUGGCAUGUCCGAGGGACUCCAUGCAAACAUGUCGGCGUUCGCAUGGAGAAAGUCGACGAGCACAGCUUCCUAUUUGGGGCCGAGGUCGGCGCUGAUCGUCAGCACCUUGCCGUCGGAGUUGUUGGGGUCGAGCGGGAUCUUCUUGGUUCCCUCUGCCGGCUCGAAGCUGCCCGCGUGGUGUUUGGGCUCUGGAGCCUCAGCGGCCAGGGCCUCGAGUUUUGCGACGAGCUCGGUGGAGUUCUCUACCGCCUCCCCAUACUCGACGCACUCGAUGUCGCAUUCGUAAGCGUGCUCGAAGGAGGAGCUGAUAGUGAUGACGCCUUUGGGACCGGGCAUCUUCAGCUUCAAGUAGGUGUAGUUGGGUAUAGCCAUGAACUUUGCGUAGCCCGGGCGCCCGAUGAUGGCGUGGUACGUGCCCCGGAACCCGACCACCUCAAAGGUGAGGGUCUCCUUCCUGAAGUUGGCCGCCGUGCCAAAGCAGACCGGUAAGUCGAUUCGACCUACUGGCAGCGCCUUUUUCCCUGGCACAACGCCGUGGAAACCACCGGCGCUUGGUUGAAGCCGUCCCCUGUCGAUGCCAAGGAGGUCGAGGGUCUCGAGGUAGAUGAUGUUGAGGCUGCUGCCUCCGUCCAUUAGCACCUUCGAGAGCCUGGUAUUGACGAUGAUGGGGUCGACGACGAGCGGGUAGACGCCUGGGGCAACCACCUUGUCGGGGUGAUCCUCUCGGUCGAAGGUGAUGGGUGUGCUCGACCAGCUGAGGUACUGGGGCACCGCCAUUCUUGCCGCGAAGACCUCACGACGUUCCCUCUUGCGCUGCCUUGCAGUCAACUGCGUCGAGGGCCCACCAUAGAUCAUGUAGCAGUCGUGGACGACAGGGAAACCAUCGUCGUCCUUGUUGCCCUCCUUGUCACCACCCUUCUCCUUCUUGGGGUCGUCGUGCGCGUCCUUUCUGAACCCUAGGCCGUCGAAAUGCUUUUUCAGCAUACGACAGUCCUUGAGCUUGUGGUUGGCUCCUCCUUUGUGGUAAGGGCAUGGUUCCUCUAGCAUCUUAUCGAAGAUACCUCCAUAUAGGGGGGCCUUGAGGCUUCUUCCGCUCCAUGGCGGCGAUGAGGUCGUCGUCGAAGUUCUCCUGCUUGAACUGCCGCACCUUCUACUUCUUCUUGUUCUUCUUGAGCCCUCGACUAGGGGUCUCGUCUUCAUCGGCGGGCUGCUUGCCUUUCCUUCCUUCACAACUGAAGAAGGCACCGACUGCUUCCUCCCCUGCUGCGUAGUUUGCCACUACGUCCAUGAUCUCAUCGACGGUCUGAGGUCGGUUCCGACCCAAUUCCCGCACCAAGUCUCGACUGGUGGUACCAGAGACAAAUGCCAGGAUGACGUCGUGGUCGGGGAUAUGUGGCAGCUCGGUGUGCUGUUUUGAGAAGUGUCGAGCAUACUCUCAAAGAGUUUCUCACGACUUCUGCUUGCACUUGCUGAGGUCCCAUGAGUUCCUGGGCUGUAUGUAGGUCCCUUUGAAAUUACCCUCGAAGACACUAACCAAAUCGACCCAGUCGUGGAUCUGAUUUGCUGGGAGUUCCUCGAGCCACCGAUGGGCACUGUCGGAGAGGAAGAGUGGUAGCUGUCUGAUGAUGGCUCGAUCAUCUCCUCGAGCGCCUCCUAGCUGACAGGCCAGCCUAAAAUCGGCCAGCCACAACUCUGGUUUGGUCUCGCCAUUGUAUUUCGCGAUGCUGGUUGGGGGUCGGAAUGGACUGGGCAGGGGCGUGCUGCGGAUUGCCCUGCUGAACACCCGUGGGCCUGGUGGCUCGGGGGCCAUCCGGUCCUCGUCGCUGUCAUACCUCCCACCGCGGUGUGCGCUGUAACCGCGCUCUUCCGCAUCCCCAUACCGACGGCGUCGAUUCUCUUCGAUGUCAUGCCGCACGUCGUGUCGACGUUGAUUGUCGACAGGGAGGACGAGAGUGGCCUUUCUUCCUCGAGGGGGAGGCUGUUGAUGGACUGACACCUCCUUUUCGUUUUGGGGCGGCUCAUCGCGCUUUUCAGUGGCGGCUCCUCGUCGUCGAGAAGCCCAGCUUUCGGCUUGUUGAACCGCCGCUACCUGGAGCAGAGUCUGCACCUCGUCUCGAAUGCGUCGAGCUUGGGAAUUUGAUGGCUCUGGCAUGUUGCAUAGCAGCAUUGUUGCUGCCACUACGUUCUGGCCUGCUCGAGAGAAGCGGCUGACGGGUUGCUCUGGCUCCACGUCUCCGACGAUUUGCCGGUGUACCUCUCGAGCUCGCCUACAGACACUUCCGCCGGGCGGGUAAGGCAAGUCUUGUUCGAGGAUUUGCUCAAGCAGGACGAGGUGCUCACGGUCUUCGUCGAGCUUUGUCUUGAGCUCUCAUAGUUGCGCAAGCUGCACAGCCCUGUCUUCCUAUGGAAGUGGAUCGACCUAUCCGCCGUUCCCAGGCGUCCUGGGGUCUUCCCUUGCUGCGGGGGCUCGACCGCCCGCAGCUGCGUCCUGCGUCUCGUCGGUAGUUAUCUCGUCAGUAGUAAAAUAUAAUCAUCAAAUAAACAAAGAAAAGGAUCUAAAUGAAAUCAACAUCCAGACUUAGGGUUUUAUCUGACAGAAUUCCACGAGUUUUGGUGUUUGUCUAUUUCUACAGGGGGUUAUCAGGAAAUACGGAAGAAAGGCCCACACAUCGGGAUUACAUAGAGAUAUUAACGUGCCGCGCAAUUAUCUUACAUCUAGAAGACUCCAGAAGCCACGAGAACGAAGCGGAGGCGAAACGGCGCCUGGCCCUGGGCGCCCGCCCAGGAGACCAGGGCACCCGCCCCCUGUUGGAGUCCAAUCAGGACACCCUUUUGGGAUUACGCUCCACCGACCUAAAGGAUCAAGGAUAACCGUUCAAUCAAUAUCGGUUUGAUCCAACGGCCCAUAUUCACUCGAAGGGACUAUAAAACCAGAACCCGUGGCCCCUGGAGGAGAGAGCCUCUCAACCCUAAUUCAUUAUUCCUCAAGGGAGAAGAAGCCUCUGAUCAAGCCUAGAGCCACCACAUCAAUUAGACAUCUAGAUUAGCAUAGCUACAUAGGAUUAGAACUAGAAGGAGUCAAUCUUCGAUUGGUUUCCGGAUCUGUCAAGAGGAUUCUUGGUAAUUCUCUAAUUGUUCUUCUAAUUGUUCAUCAUUGUUCUUCAAUAUUAUGAAUAUGACUUUGCUCUACUUCAAUAUAUUGCUUAUGACUUUGCUCUACUUGUUUAUAUUCAAGAUUAUAUUGUUCUUAGUUUAUCAUAGUUAUAUACUUGGCUUAGUUAGAUUGGAUCUAUAUACAUGUUUAGGAUCGUAUAGCAUUUAUCUAUUGGAUCCAUGGGUAAAUGAUAGAUAUUGUGUAGGCGUGGUGCUUAUACCGUAUUUAUCUGCGAUUGUACCCAAUAUGCCAGAUCAUGGGGUAGUUCGUGAUAGUGACAGUUUCAUUGAUUCUUAUAUAGUCCCCCUCUCGUGUAUUGGGCUGGCAGAGCAACAUUAUUAUAGGGGAGUGAUUAUGAUGUUUCACAUAUUCCUUGCUAUAUCACUAUGCAUGGGCGUAGUCCUGUCUCGCAAUGAUUGCUAAGUAUACUUGCACUAACUAUGAUAAUGCUAGACUGUAUAGUUAAGAAUAACUUAGGAAAUAUUCUGUGGCUAAGUUAUGCUAAUCAGAUUAAUUAUCUUUGUCACUAUUCAUUACUUUAUAUAUCCUUUAUGUGACACUUAUCCCUGUAUGAAAGAGUUAGAUAAAUGUUCUCAAUUAUACAUGCAAUGAUAGAUGCUCAAUCUUAUAUUCCAUUCUAUAAUCAACAUUGAUGGUUACUAAUCCCUUCCCAGUGGGAAAAAUAUAAAUAACGAUACCUGGAAUACUUCCCGGUUAAAAUGCUACAUCGGUAUUUAUUUAGAUGAGCAAUUGCAUAUUUCAAUACCGCGUCUCUUAUGUCAUGCUGGGGAUGACAACUUGGCUUAAGUGGCAUGGGAGAUAGUUUUGGCAUUUUUGGCGCCGUUAUCAGAAUGAGAAAACUAAGUCUACUUUUGGUAAUGAUGUUAAGAAUACCCAGCAAUAUCCUGAAGGAAGGGAACCUCUACUACUAGAGAACAAACCUUUCAUCGAUGUGCCAAAUGAGCUUUAGUCCUAGCAUUUUUGGCGCCCGGGACAAAAGAGAUCUUUAGUCCCGGUUGGUAACGCCAACCGGGACUAACGAUCCCUCCCCAACGGCUCCGGUGUCAGGCGCUGUCGGGGAGGGACCUUUAGCCCCAGUGGAUGUUACCAACUGGGACUAAACACCUACCUUUAGCCUCGGUUUGUUCCACUAACUGGGACUAAACCUUUUGUCCCGGUCGUUGGCACCAACCGGGGCUAAAGGUAGGUGUUUAGUCCCGGUUGGUAACACCAACCAGGACUAAACCCUCCCCGCUAUAAAUUGAAUCUCCCUCCUCCCUUCUUGCACUCCCUGCCCGAGCCCGUGGUCCUUUAUUCUUGCUUGUUCUUCCAUUGUUCUUGCUUGUUAUUGCUCUCAUCUUCCGCGAUCGAUCCAUUUCAACGCUUCUACGCCGUUGUCGAUUUGUUUGAAAGGUUGCUAGCUUCAUCCUCCUAUGUUUCUCACCGCCAUAUGUAAUUUCAUGUUGGACAUAUGGCUAUUUUAAUUAUUUCAUGUUGCUAUCUCUCCAAUCAUCAUCUUCUCAUGUUUGAAUUUUUUUGAACGAUGCUAAGUGUGUGCCCGCUAGAAACUAGUGUACACAAAUCAUUACUACUAUGUAUACACAAAUCAUGUUUAGUUCUAUUAUAGAUAUUAUAGGAUAUUUUUACUUUAAUAUGGUCAUGUUCUUAUUUUAAAAUAUAUUUGUUGGACCAAACAUGGAGAGACUGGGUUAUGAUGGAAGAAGGUGAAGAAGAGCAAGCGUACCCUGACGAUGUUUUUGCUCAAUACUGCGACUUCGCGGUAUAGGACAAAGGUGAAGAAGACGGGGAUGCAGGAAACAGUAUCAUUGAUGAUGACGAUGCUCUUGGUGAUGUCAUUCACGACGUACAGAGAAAUUGCAAAAGUGCAAAGGAGAAGGCUAAAUUUGACCAAAUGCUAGAGGAUCACAAGAAGCUACUCUACCCAUCGGCCGAAGAGGGACAAAAAAAGCUAGGCACGACACUAGAGUUGUUACCAUGGAAGGCAGAGAAUGGUAUUUCUGACAAUGCAUUUGGAAAAUUACUCAAGAUCCAAAAAAAGAUGCUUCCGAAGCCUAAUGAGUUACCCACCACUACAUACGAAGCAAAAAAGAUCGUCUGUCCUUUGGGGUUACAAAUCAAAAAGAUACAUGUAUGCCCUAAUGACUACAUCCUAUACCGUGGCGAGCACGAGAAAUUAGAUGACUACCCUGUUUGCCAUGCGUCACAGUACAAGAUCUUGCGGGAUGACCCUGGCGAUGUUGAGGAUGAAGAACGUCCGAGGAAGAGAAUCCCUGCCAAGGUUAUGUGGUAUGCUCCAAUAGUUCCAUGCCUAAACAUUUGUUCAGAAAUAAGGAGCAUGCAAAGUUGUUGCGAUGGCACAAACAAGACCGUAAGGUGGACAACAUGUUGAGACACCCUGCAGAUGGUUCUCAGUGGAGAGGAAUCGAUAGUGAAUUCCAAGACUUUGCGGAGGACGCAAGAAACCUAAGGUUCGCAUUGAGUACGGAUGGAUUUAAUCCUUUUGGGGACCAGAGCUCUAGUCAUAGCACCUGGCCCGUUACUCUAUGUAUCUACAACCUUCCUCCGUGGUUAUGCAUGAAGCAGAAGUUCAUUAUGAUGCCGGUGCUCAUCCAAGGUCCGAAGCAACAUGGCAACGACAUCGAUGUUUACCUGAGGCCAUUGGUUGAGGAACUCCAGCUUCUAUGGAGCAAACCAGGUGUGCGUAUGUGGGAUGAGUACAAACAGGAAGCAUUCGACCUACGAGCAUUAUUGUUCAUGACAAUCAAUGAUUGGCUAGCUCUAAUCAAUCUUUCAGGAUAGACAAACAAGGGAUAUAAUGCUUGCUCCCAUUGCUUUGGUGACGUUCAAGCUAUCUAUGUGAAAAAAUGUCGAAAGGUUGUGUAUCCUGGCCAUCGUUGAUUUCUUGCUAAGAACCACCAGUUGAGAAAGAAAGGCGAACAUUUUAAAGGUAUGAGAGAACACUGGUCCAAGCCAUGCAACUGAGAUGGGGUAGAGGUAUUCGAGAUGGUCAAAGAUUUGAAUGUACUAUUUGGAAAGGGAGAAGGCAGCAAACCUGUUCCGAAAGACACUUCGGGGCGUGCCCCAAUGUGGAAGAAAUAGUCAAUAUUUUGGGAGCUACCAUAUUGGAAACACCUUGAGGUCCGCCACUCCAUCGACAUGAUGCACCUGACAAAGAAUCUUUGUGUCAAUCUCCUAGGGUUUAUGGGUGUGUUUGGAAAGCCUAAGGAUACCCUUGAGGCUCGAGAGGACUUAAAGCGCAUGAAAGAACGAGACAACCUGCAUGCAAAGCAGACAGAUGAUGGACGCCAGUAUUUUAAGACCUGCUAGCUACACUCUUAGCAAUGAGGAGAAGGAAAUCAUGUUUGAGUGCCUAAGCAGCAUCAAGGUCCCAUCUGGGUUCUCCUCCAACAUAAAGCUUAUAAUAAAUGUGCCAGAGAAAAAAUUUGUCAACUUAAAAUCGCACGACUGCCACGUGAUUAUGACACAACUGCUUCUGGUUGCCUUAAGAGGAAUUCUACCUCCACAUGUACGUCUGGCCACCGUGAAGUAGUGUGCAUUCCUCAAUGCAAUUUCUCAGAAGGCAAUAAAUCCUCUUGAUCUAGCUACUCUACAGAACGAUGUAGUUCAAUGUCUUGUCAGCUUUGAGUUGGUGUUUCCUCCAUCUAUCUUUGAUAUCAUGACACAUCUCCUAGUUCACCUGGUCAAAGAUAUUAAUAUCCUGGGUCCUAUCUUCCUACACAACAUGUUUCCCUUAGAGAGAUUUAUGGGUGUACUGAAAAAAUAUGUUCACCAGCGGGGUCGGCCAGAAGGAAGCAUCAUCAAGGGAUAUGGGAUAGAGGAGGUCAUUGAGUUCUGUGUGGACUUCAUUCCUGAUCUUGACCCGAUUGGUCUUCCUGAAUCAAGGUAUGAGGGGAGACUCGGUGGAAAAGGGUACACUAGGAAAGAAAACAUAUAUCAGCCAGAGUGAUGAUUUAUUCCAUAAAGUGCACUACACAGUCCUUCGAAACUCCAUUGUGGUGGAACCCUAUAUUGAGGAACAUAUGGAUUUUGUAUGAUCCGAGAAUCCUAGAAAGAAUGAGACUUGGGUUAUGCGUUAUCACAUGGAAACAUUCGGUGACUGGUUGUGAAAAAAAUGCCAAGGUGAUAAAGAUAUUGUAGAUGAACUUUAUUUGUUGGCUAGGCAACCAGCGUGGCACGUCAUCACGUACAAAGGAUACGAGAUAAAUGGAAAUACAUUUUACACCGUAACACAAGAUAAAAAGAGUACAAACCAAAACAGUGGUGUCCGUGUGGAUGCCACUGACAUGAAUGGGGACAGGCACACAUAUUAUGUUCGUAUAGAGGAGAUUUGGGAACUAGACUAUGCACAUAAUUUUAAAGUCCCUUUAUUCCGAUGCCAAUGGGUGAAGAUGAAAUGAGGGGUAUUGAUCGAUAAGGAGUACGGAAUGACAACAGUGGACCUCAACAAUAUUGGAUAUACAAACGAUCCAUUCGUCCUUGGUACUAAGGUGAAUCAAGUGUUCUAUGUGAAAGACAUGUCUACAAAACCCAAGAGAGGGAAACAAGAUGAGAAAAACACAAACGAGCCAAAGCGCCACAUCGUUCUUACAGGGAAAAGAAACAUCGUGGGAAUUGAAGACAAGUUAGACGUGUCAGAGGAUUAUGAAAAGGAUGAACGGAUCCCACCCUUCUGUGUGGGCAAAGACCCAAGCAUCAUGCUCGCUGUAGAGGACACUCCAUGGUUACAGAAUAUUCAUAACCAAGGGCAUUACGUUAAGAAAAAUUUUACCAUUGUGCUAGCUUGAUAAUGGUAGUGAUUUGUACUUGACAUCUUGUGUAAUAUAAUUGUAACAUUAUGUGUAAUAUAAUUCUAACAUCUUGAUAAUGUGGAUUUUGAACUACACUUUGCCAGCACUUUGUGAAAUGCAAAAAUGGUCUAUAUAUGAAAUGUAGAUCUUGAUGAGUGGAGCAAUAUUGGUAUUCAUGAGUUUUCCAUUUGAGGCCAUCCGUGGUUCCAAAAAUUAGCGUUUUGCUAUGAAUUCUUUCAAAUUUCCAAAUUGAGUGGUCCAACUUUUUCAAAUGAAAAUGUGACCAUUAGAGAAAAUGUAGACCCUGAUGAGUGGAACAAACUUUGUAUUCAUGAGUUUUCCAUUUGAGGCCAUCUAUGGCUCGGUCAAAGUGUGUGUUUGUGAAACCCACUGUUUUGACUUUGGUCAAACUUGGUCAAAUGACCCAUCUGAGGACUUCAAAUGGAAAACUAUUGGAUACCAAGUUGUUAGAGCUCAUCAACACCUACAUUUCAUACAUGGACCAUAUUUUCAUCCGGAUAAAUUUGAUCGAGUCCCAGUCACAUGUUUUCAAAUUCGAAGACGGGCUUUGGUCAAACUAGGUCAAACGAUGGAGAAAAUGACUUGGAAUGAAAAUCUUUUGAAUACCAAGUUGUUAGAGCUCAUCAAUAUCCAAACUUUUUAUAUAGACCAUUUUUCUAUUUGGAAAAGUUUAUGUAAACAAUACUCACCAAAACUUGAAUCUCACACAAACUAUAUGAAACUAUACGUGGGAAGUGUGGAUUUUGAACUACACUUUGCCAACACUUUGUUAAUGCAAAAAUGGUCUAUAUAUGAAAUGUAGAUCUUGAUGAGUGGAGCAAUAUUGGUAUUCAUGAGUUUUCCAUUUGAGGCCAUCCAUGGUUCCAAAAAUUAGCGUUUCGCUAUGAAUUCUUUCAAAUUUCCAAAUUGAGUGGUCCAACUUUUUCAAAUGAAAAUGUGACCAUUAGAGAAAAUGUAGACCCUAAUGAGUGGAACAAACUUUGUAUUCAUGAGUUUUCCAUUUGAGGCCAUCUAGGGCUCGGUCAAAGUGUGUGUUUGUGAAACCCACUAUUUUGACUUUGGUCAAACUUGGUCAAAUGACCCAUCUGAGUACUUCAAAUGGAAAACUUUUGAAUACCAAGUUGUUAGAGCUCAUCAAGACCUACAUUUCAUACACGGAUCAUAUUUUCAUCUGGAUAAAUUUGAUCGAGUCCCAUGCACAUGUUUUCAAAUUCAAAGACGGGCUUUGGUCAAACUUGGUCAAACGAUGGAGAAAAUGACUGCGAAUGAAAAUAUUUUGAAUACCAAGUUGUUAGAGCUCAUCAAUAUGCAAACUUUUUAUAUAGACCAUUUUUUCAUUUGGAAAAGUUUAUGUAAACAAUACUCACCAAAUCUUGAAUCUCACACAAACUAUAUGAAACUAUACGUGAGAAGUGCGGAUUUUGAACUACACUUUGCCAGCACUUUGUCAAAUGUAAAAAUGGUCUAUAUAUGAAAUGUAGAUCUUGAUGAGGGGAGCAAUAUUGGUAUUCAUGAGUUUUCCAUUUCAGGCCAUCCAUGGUUCCGAAAAUUAGUGCUUCGCUAUGAAUUCUUUCAAAUUUCAAAAUUGGGUGGCCCAAACUUUUUCAAAUGAAAUUGUGACCAUUAGAGAAAAUGUAGACCUUGAUGAGUGGAACAAACUUUGUAUUCAUGAGUUUUCCAUUUGAGGCCAUCCAGGCCUCGGUAAAAGUGUGUGUUUGUGAAAUCCACUAUUUUGACUUUGGUCAAACUUGGUCAAAUGACCCAUCUGAGGACUUCAAAUGGAAAACUAUUGAAUACCAAGUUGUUAGAGCUCAUCAACACCUACAUUUCAUACAUGGACCAUAUUUUCAUCCGGAUAAAUUUGAUCGAGUCCCAGUCACAUGUUUUCAAAUUCGAAGACGGGCUUUGGUCAAACUAGGUCAAACGAUGGAGAAAAUGACUUGGAAUGAAAAUCUUUUGAAUACCAAGUUGUUAGAGCUCAUCAAUAUCCAAACUUUUUAUAUAGACCAUUUUUAUAUUUGGAAAAGUUUAUGUAAACAAUACUCACCAAAACUUGAAUCUCACACAAACUAUAUGAAACUAUACGUGGGAAGUGUGGAUUUUGAACUACACUUUGCCAGCACUUUGUUAAUGCAAAAAUGGUCUAUAUAUGAAAUGUAGAUCUUGAUGAGUGGAGCAAUAUUGGUACUCAUGAGUUUUCCAUUUGAGGCCAUCCAUGGUUCCAAAAAUUAGCGUUUCGCUAUGAAUUCUUUCAAAUUUCCAAAUUGAGUGGUCCAACUUUUUCAAAUGAAAAUGUGACCAUUAGAGAAAAUAUAGACCCUAAUGAGUGGAACAAACUUUGUAUUCAUGAGUUUUCCAUUUGAGGCCAUCUAGGGCUCGGUCAAAGUGUGUGUUUGUGAAACCCACUGUUUUGACUUUGGUCAAACUUGGUCAAAUGACCCAUCUGAGUACUUCAAAUGGAAAACUUUUGAAUACCAAGUUGUUAGAGCUCAUCAAGACCUACAUUUCAUACACGGAUCAUAUUUUCAUCUGGAUAAAUUUGAUCGAGUCCCAUGCACAUGUUUUCAAAUUCAAAGACGGGCUUUGGUCAAACUUGGUCAAACGAUGGAGAAAAUGACUGGGAAUGAAAAUAUUUUGAAUACCAAGUUGUUAGAGCUCAUCAAUAUCCAAACUUUUUAUAUAGACCAUUUUUCCAUUUGGAAAAGUUUAUGUAAACAAUACUCACCAAAUCUUGAAUCUCACACAAACUAUAUGAAACUAUACGUGAGAAGUGUGGAUUUCGAACGACACUUUGCCAGCACUUUGUCAAAUGCAAAAAUGGUCUAUAUAUGAAAUGUAGAUCUUAAUGAGUGGAGCAAUAUUGGUAUUCAUGAGUUUUCCAUUUGAGGCCAUCCAUGGUUCCGAAAAUUAGCGUUACGCUAUGAACUCUUUCAAAUUUCAAAAUUGAGUGGUCUAAUCUUUUUCAAAUGAAAAUGUGACCAUUAGAGAAAAUAUAGGUCUUGAUGAGUGCAACAAACUUUGUAUUCAUGAGUUUUCUAUUUGAGGCCAUCCAGGGUUCCAAAAUCUAUCUUACAGCUUUUGAAAAUUUAAAUUUCAAAUUUAUACAAUAAAUGUCGCGCAUUUGUAUAAAUAUUAUUAAAGAAAUAAAAGUUUAACGUCUAAAUGACCCAAAAACCAAGUAUGAAAUAAAAGCCAAUAAUUUUUUAAAAUUUAAUUGCCAUUAUAUUUUUGCAUUAACACAAUAUUCAUUAUAAAUAACAUUAUUUUUGAAUAAUAUGAAAUAUUUGAAAAUCAAUUCUGUUUAGAAUUUUUAUACUGAAGAGUAGAGCAGAAUAAAAUUAAUAUGUAUUUUUUCAACAAUUUUAUUAGAUUUAUUUAAUUUAUAAUGCAUUUAACAAUGUAAAAGGGAAAAAAGGAAAAACUAAAUUAUGGCGCCUAAACUGGCGCCAUAAUUUGGUGAAAACUCUUUGUCUCGGGCCGAGCUAGCGCCCGGGACUAAAGGGUCUUUAAUCUCGGUUCCAGCGAGGAACCGGGACUAAGCUCGGCCCGGGACUAAAGGUGCCCUGCCAUAUAAAGGGCAGAGCCCUUCUUCCUCCUGCCCACCGCGCCCGCGUCGAUCUUACCGUAACCGCCGCCGACCCGUCGUCUUCUCUGCCGCCGCUCCGUCGAUCUCGUCCUUGCCGCCGUCGUCCUUGCUCCGAGCGCCGCACCGAGGACGCCUCGCCGUACGCCGCGCGCCCACCGCCUCUACUCCCUCUCUCUUUCUCUCUUUCUCGUUCUCGCGCGCGCCGCCGCCACCUCGAUCGGGAACCCGCGAGCUCACCAACCGCCGCCACGCGCGGCUGCGCCCUUCGCGCCCGACAACGGCAGCCGGCGGGGGGCAGUGGCGCGGGCCCCAUGCCGUACGCCGUCGGCCGCGCGGCCACAUGCACCCACACCGGCGGCGUCGCCCGAGCCCCCCGCGCCGCUAAGACAGAGAUCGAGAAAGAAAAAAAAUGAAAAAAAUGAAAAAAAAUAUGAAAUAACAAAGAAAUAACUUUAACUAAAUAUAUAGUAAAAAAUAUUGAUAUUUAUAAUACAUAGUUAGGCCUUGUUUAGUUCUAAAAAAUUUUAGGAAAUCGACACUGUAGCAUUUUUGUUUGUAUUUGACAAAUAUUGUCCAAUCAUUGACUAACUAGGCUCAUGCAUACGUAUCGUUCUAAAAAAGUUUCGUAUCGUUAAUUCCGACCAAACUGUGCAAUUAGUUUUUAUUUUCGUCUAUAUUUCAUACUCCAUGCAUGCAUACGUUUAAAGAUUUGAUGUGACGGAGAAUCUGAAAAAUUUUGCAAAAUUUUAUGGGAACUAUGCCUUAGUAUCAUUGAAAAGAUCUUUCGGUCUAGUUUUUUAACAAAUUUAUUUAGAGACUUGGUUUUUGUUUUCUUCUAUAUUUAGUGCUUCAUGCAUGUGCCAGAAUAUGUAAAUGUGAUAUAAUAUUCGUUCCCUCUUUCUUCCUUCUUCCAGAUCGACGUCUCUCUGUCGUCGUCACCGAAGUCCCCGUCGAGUCUCCGCGCCGACUGCCAUCUCUCCGCCGUCUCACCAUUUCAAACUACACGUAUGUCUAGAGAUGGAUCUAUUAGUGGUACAAUUAGUGCUAUAAUUAGUGGUACAAUUAGUGGUAUAAAUUAGUGGUAUAGUUAUGAUAUAUUUAAUUGUUAGCAAAUGAUAUACACUAAACCCUAAACCUAAGCCCUAAGCCCUAAACCCUAAACCCUAAACCCUAAGGAGUAUGUGCCACCCUCAGAAGGUACGAGGACUUGGUACGCAAAUAUACAAGUUGCACGAGUACUACUUGAGAGUCAGCUCAAAACAUAAGGAAGAAGAAUUGAUUGCCGUCCGAGUCUGCGACCGACACUACUUCGGUGGAGAUGACGUCAUACGGAUAGAUUUUAGUGAAGUACACCAGCUUCUCCAUAUGAAUGCUCUCAACAAAUCUCUCAUGAGCUGCUACUGUCUGUAAGUGAUUCUUCCUUUUAAUUAUUAAUCCCAUUAUAGCAUAUGUAUGUAUUCAUAAUAACUACGAUCACGAUGUGUAGACACAUGAUGAGAGAACAAAGAUUGAAAAAAGACAAUCGAAUUGGUUUCAUCGAUCCAUAUGUCGUGUACAAGGACACCAAGACUAAAGAUCCAUUGAAUCUGAAGCCUAAGGAAAUAGGGAAGAACCUCCGGAGGUUCUUUUAUAAUCAAAGCCAUACAGAGAAGAUACUCUUCCUUUACAAUAUGGGGUAAGUGUUGUGUUAUAUCAUGUCUUAGUUAGUCCGGCAUUAAGAUAUAUUUAUAUAUAAGUUGACACUAAACAAAUGCAGAGAUUAUUGGAUACUCAUUGAGAUUAAGAUCAUGGAACAAAAAAUAAAUGUGUGGGACUCAAUGAAAAAGACCUGGCACUCUAUCAAGGCAUAAUAGACAUUGUUGACGGUCCUUAAUGCUCACAUUUAACUGUCAACUAAUCAUGGAAAAGGACCUAUAUGCAACCAACACCUAAAAUUAGGGUUUCAUCUCACAGAAUUCCACGAGUUUUGGUGUUUGUCUAUUUCUGCAGGGGGUUAUCAGGAAAUAUGGAGGAAAGGCCCACAUGUCGGUUGUAACACCCUAGGUGUUAAACAUGCACUUAGUCUCAUCAACUUAUACAUAAGCAUUCUCAUCAAGCAUAGCAUCACAUGAGCAUGUCAUUCAUUCAAAGUGUGAUUUUAUGUGCUUUAUUUUAUGUGAAUUAAAUGUGGUAAAAAUAUUAUGCUUGCUUCUAAAUUCUUGAAUUGCCCAAAUUAGGUUAAAAUAUGUGUUAAAAGAUUUAAGAGUAAUUUUGUGAUAUUUUUGGAGCUAUAGAAAUUAAGAAAUUGAUUUUAUACAAAAAUUCCCAAAAUAGAUUUAUUUGAAAACCUAUAAAUAGUUUUGAGUUGUAUUUCAAAAUCUAUUUGGAAUUUGUGAAUUCAACCUAAAGAAAAGUUGUAGGGUUUUUGAUUUAGAACAACUUUUGUUUUGGAAGAAAAAGGUGAAAAUGAUUUUAAAAUAGUCCAAAUGAAUUUAGAAAGAGUUUGAGAAAAGAAAUUCUAAAAAAAUGGAAAAGGGAAAGGGGGGCGCUAGCAGGCUGCGGCCUCACUUCUGGCCCGCUAGCCGAAGCCGGCCCAGCCCGCCCGCGCCGUGCCGCCGUGGCACGCCGGUAGAGCUCGGCCGCCGCGUGGCGAGCAUGCGGCAGCCUGGAUGCGCCCCGGUCGGCCACCAGGAGCGCCCGACCGCCUCCGUCUCUGCCUCCGCUACCAUUUGCGAUCCUCUACUCGCGCUCUUGCCUUUCGCUCGCCCGCGCGCCGCAGCUGCCGCUCCGCCGCGCGCCAUCGUCGCCGACGACUUGGAGCUUCUCUCUCAGCCAGCUCCGGCCUCAUCCUUCCUCUCCGCGACCGCCAACAGCUCCGCCUCGUCAUUCCGCGUCGCGUGCUCGCGCUCAACCGCACUCGGUGAGUCCCCGCGCGCCCGGGAGAGCUCACCAGAGUGAGUCGGGACUCCGGUGACCUUUCGUUCCGCGUUGUUCUCCCCCUCUACUCCGCCAUUUCUUGCGCUUUUAGGUGUGUUAGCUUCGCCUCGGCCUCGCGAACCGAUUCCGGCCGUUCGAGCACGCUCUACCGCCGCGUGGUGGCCGGACCGCGGCGAGCAGUGCCGCCGUUCCACCAUGGCCGGUGGCGAGCUUGCUCCCAUCCGUUGCCGCGGAAGUAGGUUCGCUGAGUUCGCCUUGAGCCGUAGAACGCGUAGAGCCACUUGGUUCGCCGAGAGAGGCCGCCGACGGUGAGCUCCGCCUCGCCGGAGUCGCCCUCUCUCUGUGUUCUGGCCAGCGGGCCCGGCUAUCAGGCGGGUCCGUCUCGUCAGUGGCCGCGGGUGCACUGCACCGGGUGCACCUAGCUGGUCCCGGGGGUGGAUUUGAAUUGAUUUUCAGAAAAUGCUUUCCGGAAAAUAGUUUAAAUGAUAUAAAAUCCAUAUCUUGAGAUAUAUAGCUCCAAAAAUGAUGAAAUAAAUUGUGGAGUGUUCUAUAAUUCUAGAUCUACAGUUUAGUAUAGUUGCAUGUCUUGUUUAAACAACUUUUCUGUGCAAAUAUAUUUAAUCCAUGUUUUUGCUGAGAAUUGGAAAAUGCAUAGUAAUUAAAAUAUAGUUCAGAAAAAUAUGAAACUUGUUUUGUUGGCUCUGCAUGGAUGAUUAGGCUCUGGGAAAAUUAUGUUACACAUUAUUUGCUGUAUGAAUUAAUUUAUUGUGAUUUAAAUGCUUGCAUGGCAAUGGUUUAUGAUUUUUAAUAAAUAAUUGGAUCAUGCAAUUAAACUACAAAUUUUUGUGGGUAUUUCUUAUGUUAUUAAGUAAAUUAUAAAAAUAUGAAAUCUGCUAUUUGACACUUAUACCACAGUAGGGUAUUUAUACAUGAUUAUAUGGAUUAAUCUUGUGAUUUUUGUAGCCCAAAAUAAAUGUCCAAAUAUUAUGAAAAACUUAUGGUAGACUUUAUGGUUGACUAGUAGUCUACUCUAAUUUUUGUGGAAUUUUUUGUUAAACAGAGAUAUAUGUUACUUUGUAGGUCCAAGAGUGAUUAAAUAAAAUAAGAGUGGUUAUGCAUGAAUUAAAUAGAAUAAAAGAUUGUUUGGUGUAUCUUUGAAGCAUCUUGUGAGCUUGCUGGUUAACCAUGAAGACAACUUGUAGAAGAGAAUGCAAUAUAUGCUUAGUUCGAUUGUUUAUUCUUGGGUGAUGUUGACUACCUCGUAAAAGUGACCACUUAUAUCAUCUAUACACCAUGUCAUAGUCAUCUGUUACCCACUUGCAUAAGCAUUGUAUCUCGGGCAUCUCGCACUCCACUCAUGAGCACACAUGCAUCAUACAGGCUCGCAGGAGAACGAGGUGGGACCCGAGGAGCAAGAGGAGACCCUGGAGCAGGAACCUCUGGGAGGACUAGAGACCGGAGAGGAGCUGUAGGAGUGCCCGGACCACAGACCGAGCACGUUUGAGAAAGGCAAGCCCCCGAGCAUUCUAAGUCUCCCUAUUCUCGCUAACUUAAAUGAGAUAUUAUGUUUGUUCUACUAUGUUGCAUUUAAGUGAUAGGAAUUGCUUGAUACCGUUGAUGCAUAAGUACUCCUUGAUAUCACCACUUGUUUAUCUACCUUGUCCUAUGUAGAUAGGCACAGAGUCCAUGCUUAGUUUGCUUAGUCCGGUAGAAGUUGGGUGAUUUCCUGUCACCUGCGAGAUAUAGGUGGACACCUGUUUGAUUAGCUGUGAUUGCUAUGAGGAUGAAUAACCAAGUGUGGAAAGGAAUUUGAGACCGGGCAGGGUCUUGUGGUGGGUUGAUCAUAGUGCCCCUGCCUGUGUCGAUUAAGGACCGAUCGUUGACGGCCCUCUUGUCAUGUUGAACGCAUGCCCCACACUUAGCUGGAAGGAUAAGUCGUUCCGACCGCGAAGCCUGAGCACUAUCUGGGCCGGGAAUCGGCCCGAUGUACGCGCUGUAUUGGUGAUGGUUGAGGAGAACGACGAGGGCGCAGCGCACAACCUUUGUAUACGUUGGAUACCUCGGCUGCCGGAACGGUCCUCGGGUACGGGCGGUGCCUGUCGAACCCGCGAAUUGGUCGUGGAUAAUGCAACACGGUGAUCUGUAGCUCACUUGAUCAGUGUGUGUGGUUUGUGUGGGGAAUAAACUCACCAGCUGGUCAGAAAUCGAUUCGAAUCGCCAUCACUCCUGGAUAGUGAGCACUUGACAUGAGCCCUGUCCUCGUAGUAAGGACUAUGGAACAUUUGGGUUAUGAUGAUAAAUGAUUUAUGAAUGCUAUGAUGAGGUACCAUCAUAUUACUACACUUGCUUGUAAUAGUACAGGUGCAAACCUAGAUAAUAGGUACGAUAUUAUCAAACUUGAGCUAAUGAAAAGAAGAAAGGUCUCUAGGCUAUGUUUUAGCGGAAUAAUGCUUUUAUGAAAAGAGUCUCAGCUUCCCCACCAUACAGCCUUCAUGAUCCUUGAAGAGUCUUGAUUUUUGGUUUAUGACGGGUAAGUCUAGCUGGGUACAUUCUCGUACUUAGGGUUCUAUUCCCGUGUUGUUUUGCAGAUGGUCAAAUGUAUUAUGGUUAUUGCAUCCUCUGCUUGUACCCAGCAAUGGGUGACGACUAGACCAAGGGCGAUGGUCACUCUCGCUUCUCUUUUGCUUUUGUGGGAAUAACCGAACUAUGGCACUGUAUCAAACUAAAUGUGUGUGUUUUAUUUUCAAACUAUGAAGCUUCCGCUACGUGAGAACUUGGUUUGUAAUAAUUUUAAGUACUCUGAUGUAUUUGAUGAAUGUUGUGAACUGGAUGUAAUUGUGAAUGGUGACCGCUGAACUUAUUACGAUCUUGGCUGUAUGUAUGAUUUGUGGUUUGAAAUCCUUCGAGAUUUCAUGGACUACCGGGAUUAUAUGGGCUUAAGCUCGGUGGUUUGACUGUGCAAAUGGUCACUAUCAAGCUUAAUCUCUUAUAAUUUGGGCGGUUCUGUUACAUCGGGUUUACACAGAGAUAUUAACGUGUGCGCCAAUUUUCUAUCAUCUAGAAGACUUCAGAAGCCAUGGGAACGAACGGGAGGCCGAGCGGGCCCGAGGGCUGGGUGCGCGCCCUCCCCCCUUCGGCAACUGCCCUGCCCUGGUGACCAAUCAGGGCAGGUCUCGCGGAUCGUGCUCCAUCGCCUUUGAGGAUCAAGGAAAACCGUGCGAUUAAGGUCGGUUUGAUCCGACGGCCCUCGUUCAUUUGGAAGGGCUAUAUAAGCAGGCCCCCUUGCCCCUGGAGAACAUAUCACUUCUACAGAAUCAAAGCUAGGGUUUCAAUUAUUCAUCCAAGUAGAGAGGAUCCCUCUAGUUCAUCUAGUUCUAGUUCAUAUAGUUCUAGUUAUAGUUAGUUCUAGGUUUAAUCUAGAAAAUAGGGAGAGGGAAGAGGAGAGCGGAGGAGGAGCCGGAUCUGUCGGAUCGUCCUCAACAUUGUACUUUUGCAGCAACUGGUUCGUUCUUCAUCGUUCUCCAAGUUCUUCAAUUCAUAAUUCCUGAGUUCUUCAAUUACUUUUAUUUACAUUCAAGUUAUUUUUUGGAUUCCCGCUUGCAUCAAGUGCUCUGUUCUUUAUAAUGCUAGAGUAGUAAUUAAUAGAUUAGACGUGGUGUUUAGUCUUGCAAUUACCUGGAAUUGCACCCAAUCCUGCGGAUUGUUGUGGUAGCCCUAGGGUAGUGACAGCCCUAACGGUCGACGUAUUCCACCUCGUUCGAAUCAGUGUUUGUAGGACCAUAGUCAGAGCUUCCUAGCCCCCUUCUCAUCUCUUUCUGUGGUCAGUGUUCUGAUGUCCCAAAAUAAAUAAUCUUUGAAGUAAUUCUUGAUUCUUAGAUCAACUAGAGAACUCUUAGGAAACUUCCUCUCUUCCCACCAAAAAUAAUUAUAUAGUUAUCCUUCGGAGAUCUUGAAUCUUAAUUAGUACACUCACGUUCCCUAUGGAAAAUCGAUACCCUAGAAUACUCCUGGGUGAAAGCUACAUCGAUAUCCGUGCGCUUGCGGAUUUUUCUGUUUGCGUUUAAAAUACCCAACAAGCUUUCUGGCGCCGUUGUCGGGGAACGAUAGUUGUGCUAGUUUCGAACCAAGUCAUCCGUGUAUCCUUUUUCUUUUCCUUUUUUUACCACACUCACCUUACAAUUUUCACCACACCACAUGGAUUUCACUCCUAUCUAUAAAUUAUUUGCUCCAAAGGGCGAGUUAUUAGAGCCACCACCAUCAUCACAUCCAAUUCUUACAGAUGGUUACGACCUCGGCCUUGAUCUAGUAGCGAUGAUUCAGGAGCAACCCGAAGUAGAUGAAUAUCCAUACACCCACGUUAGAGAAUUCGAGCAGUUGUGCUCUUGCCAAUCUAUUUCCGGCAUGACACAAGAAACCCUUAAAUGGAAAUUAUUUCCGUUCUCCCUUUUGGGUAGAGCAAAAAAGUGGUAUGCUCAUUUUGUAGGAGGCGUUAAUGGAAAUUUGGAUGAACUUCAGGACAACUUUUGUCUCACUUUCUUCCCACUUUUUCGAAACGCUGACCUUAGAAUCAAAAUUCUUACAUUCAAACAAAGAGAGAAGGAAACUUUAGGAGCAGCUUGGGCUAGGUUCACAAACCUUACCAAUUCUUGUCCAAACCUUUACCUGCCUGACCAUGUGCUAUACUACCAUUUUUAUCGUGGUCUAAACAAGGAAGCUGCUCUUCACCUCGACAUUGCUUCAGGAGGCUCAUUCUCACACAAACUCAUAGAUGAGGGGAGAGCUAUCCUAGAGAGAAUCCUUGAAAAUACACCUUACACAGGCAUUUAUGAUGAGUUUCCUGAAGAAGAAAAAGAAGUCGAGCCUAAUCCUAAACCAAAAGAAGAGGAACUUGCAACUGAGUUAGAAAUUCCACCUGACCCAUCUAUUAAUUUGGCUGUAGAGAAACCUCCUGAUAAGGGAAUGCAAAACCAACUAACGGAUAAUGAACCACCACCCUUAGAGCAUCCCUUUGAAUUCGAGGAAGAUCUUUUUGAAGAUUAUGGAAACACCUCAAAUUUUCCUAUCCAAACACGACCUCUAGCAGGGACCACUCAAUCCGUUCUAAGAGUAGAAUCUGUUGACAUAGAACACAUCAAAAGCCUUUCGGCUAUUCUGAGUUAUGAAUGGCUAACAGAAGUAGAGCUGUCACCUAAGGUAGCUCGGAUCAUCACUCCGUCAACAAUUCUUCUGUGCCAAAUUAGAGGGUCCGCUAGCAAGGUCCACUACAAUCCAUAUGUUGGGAUAAAUGUAAUUUCCAAGGAGUUAGCUGACACUCUUUAUCCCAACGAGUCCAUAACCCCAUCUCAAAAACUUUUACAAAGUCCAUCUAGAUUAAUUCUAGAAAGCUAUGGGGUAUUAAGGGCAGUUCCUAUUAGAAUCAAGGACUCUGGAAUAUGUCUAGAUUUUCACAUUUUUGACAUACGAGAGAUUCCUCUCUUGAUUGGCGGACCAAUCAUGAAACUUCUACAAGAACAACCACAACGAGGUCAUUUAGACUUCAAGGAUGGGAAUUCCACUAUUGUUGUUCCUCUUGCCAGAUCAAUUAACACGAUAGUGGAACCCAAACUUGAAUCAGAUCCUAUGGAGGAGAUCUUAAUGCUGACUCAAGAGGAGAUGGCCCAACCAUUCUUGAAUCAUGAACACUUUGUUCAAGAAGAAGAAGAGUUGGUAGAACCCAUUGAGCUAGACAAAAAUGAACAACCUUCACCUCCUUCGAUAGAGUUCUUCCUUCUGGCCUUAGAUAUGUCUUUUUGCACAACAACCCAAAAACUCCAGUAAUUAUCAGUGACAAGCUUUCCGAUUAUGAAACACAACAACUUGUCACUGUUCUUGAAAGGCAUAGAUCAGCAUUUGGCUACUCUCUCGAAGAUCUCACGAGCAUUAGUCCCAUUCUCUGCACUCAUCGUACCCCUAUUGAUCCUAAUUUUACACCUUCAAGGGAACCACAACGGAGACUUAACAAUGCUAUGCGAGAGGUUGUUAAGAAAGAGGUCCUCAAACUCUAUCGUGCUGGGAUUAUUUAUCAUGUGCCACAUAGUGAGUGGGUUAGCCCUGUCCAAGUAGUGCCAAAGAAAGGAGGAAUGACGGUGGUUUCGGAAUGAGAAGAAUGAACUCAUCCCUCAACGAAUUGUCACUGGGUGGCGUAUGUGUAUUGACUAUCGAAAGCUCAACAAGGCUACAAAGAAAUAUCACUUUCUGUUACCCUUCAUUGAUGAAAUGUUGGAACGGCUUGCAAACCACUCUUUUUUUGUUUCCUUGAAGGUUAUUCUGGAUAUCACCAAAUCCCAAUCCACCUAGAUGACCAAGAAAGGACUACCUUUACAUGCCCGUAUGGAACUUAUGCAUAACGACGAAUGUCGUUCGGAUUGUGUAAUGCUCCAGCUUCUUUCCAACGGUGCAUGAUGUCUAUUUUCAAGGACAUGAUUGAGAAGAUCAUGGAGGUUUUCAUGGAUAAUUUUUCCGUCUAUGGCAAAACCUUCGAUCAUUGUUUGGAGAAUUUAGAUAGAGUCUUGCAGCGAUGUGAAGAAAAGCACUUAAUCCUGAACUGGUAGAAAUGCCAUUUUAUGGUUUAGGAAGGAAUAGUGCUAGGACAUAAAGUGUCUGAACGUGGUGUAGAGGUGGACAAAGCAAAGAUUGAAGUUAUUGAAAAACUUCCACCUCCUACGAAUAUGAAAGGAAUACGUAGCUUUUUGGGACAUGCAGGGUUCUAUAGACGCUUUAUCAAGAACUUCUCUCAAAUUGCUAGACCCCUAACUAGUCUCCUAGCUAAGGAUGCACCUUUCAUCUUUAGUGAUGAGUGUCAUGAAUCUUUUCAAACUCUUAAGAAAGCACUCAUCUCAGCCCCAGUUAUCCAACCACCUGAUUGGAAUCUUCCUUUCGAGAUCAUGUGUGAUGCUAGUGAUUUUGAGGUUGGUGCCGUUUUAGGACAAACCAAGGAUAAAAAGCAUUAUGCCAUAUCCUACGCUAGCAAAACCUUGUCUGGACAACAGCUCAAUUACACUACAACUGAAAAAGAGCUUUUGGCUGUUGUCUUUGCUAUAGACAAGUUUAGAUCUUACUUAGUGGGGGCAAAGAUAAUCAUCUAUUCAGACCAUGCUGCUCUCAAGUACCUCCUCACUAAGAAAGAUGCUAAGCCUCGUCUAAUUCGAUGGAUUCUUCUACUCCAAGACUUUAACAUAGAAAUCCGAGAUAGGAAGGGAGUAGAGAAUUCCAUAGUCGAUCACUUGUCUAGGCUUCAAUAUAAGGAAACACAUGAUGAGCUUCCCAUAAAUGACUACCUAAGGGAUGACACCCUGCUUAAGAUAACACAUGCAGAUCCAUGGUACGCAGACAUCGUAAACUUUAUAGUAAAAGGCUAUGUCCCACCGGGUACAAACAAAAGGAAGUUACUUCAUGAUAGUCGUUUCUACCUUUGGGAUGAGCCAUAUCUUUUCCGAGUCUGCGCUGAUGGACUCUUGAGGAGGUGUGUUCCUAUGGCUGAGGCUACUCAAAUUAUGGAAAGAUGCCAUGCCUCGCCAUAUGGAGGACACAAUGGAGCAUUCCGGACACAUGCUAAAAUUUGGCAAAGUGGUUUUUUCUGGCCAACGAUGUAUGAAGAUAUUGGACUUUGUCAGGAGAUGCCACAGAUGUCAAAAACAUGGGAAUAUCAACUCGCAAAAUGAAAUGCCUCUCACAAAUAAUCUUCAAGUAGAACUUUUCGAUGUAUGGGGCAUUGAUUUCAUGGGCCAUUCCCUAUGUCUGGGAAUUACGAGUAUAUCUUAGUAGCUGUGGACUACGUGUCCAAAUGGGUAGAAGCCCUACCUUGUUGAUCAGCUGAUUCAAAACAUUCCAAGAGAAUGUUCCAUGAAGUAAUCUUUCCUCGCUUUGGUAUACCUCGGAUAGUUAUAAGCGAUGGAGGUUCCAACUUCAUCGACAAAAUCUUCCAGAAGUACCUAGCCGAUCUUGGAGUUCGACACAAUGUCGCAACACCAUACCAUCCUCAGACUAGCGAUCAAGCCGAAACAUCUAACAAACAAAUCAAAAAUAUUUUACAAAAGACCGUAGAUGAGAUGGGUAAGGGGUGGAAAGACAAACUUCCUGAUGCACUUUGGGCAUAUAGAACUGCAUUCAAAACACCCAUAGGCAUGUCACCUUAUCAACUUGUAUAUGGAAAAACUUGUCAUUUGCCUGUGGAAGUAGAGUUUAAGGCUCACUGGGCACUCAAGAAAUGGAACAUGGAUCUCCACCUCGCUAGCGAGAAUCGUCUGAUGCAACUAUCUGAGAUAGAAGAAUGGAGAGGGAAAGCCUACCACAAUUCAAGGAUCUAUAAAGAGAGAACAAAACGAUGGCAUGAUAAGAGAAUCAAGCACAAGGUGUUUAAGCCUGGAGAUAAGGUUCUACUAUUCAAUUCAAGAGUUAAGCUCUUUGGGCAUGGUAAGCUACGAAGUAAGUGGGAUGGACCAUACAAGGUUAUUUACACUUCAACUCAUGGAGCCAUUACCAUCCAAGACGACAUAGGUAACACUUUUAUGGUAAAUGGUCAACGCUUGAAAAUCUAUCUCGAGCCACAAAACAACGUGGUAGAGGAACUUGAUGUGAUUGAGUUCAUAGAAUUCUCACAUUAAGCUCUCAUAAGCUCUAGACAAUUACCUAACCCUUAACAUGCUCCACGAGUUUUGUUGUCUAUUUGGGUUGUGCAGGAUAUUGAGGCUUAAGAAGAGUGAGACCGAACAUGCAGGCCACAAAGAGUGAAUGACUAUGUCAUCAUCGAGCUUGGGGGAGGCACCCCCACAUGUAUCUAGAUAAGUAUUACUUUUCUUUCUUGGUUUUAUUUACUAGUAUUCGGAAAUAAAUAAAAAAAAUGCAUAACCAUGAAACCAAACAAAGUUUUUCUUUUGAGUAAUACACAAUAGUUUUGUGUAAUCCUAAGUUUUAAAUAAAAUAAAAAGAAAGUCUGAUCCAAGUCUAGGUAAUUGAUAAACAUGAUAUGAGAAAGUCUGAGCUACUAUUUAACUUGUUCCAAGUUUCGCUAGAGUUCUAGAGAUUUUAUCUUUUGAAAAUCUUUAAAAAAUGAGAUCCUGUUUGACAUAAUACCUUGAGUCUUAUAAGAUAUUGUCGAGGGUGUCAAUAAGGGGUACCCAAACUAAUACGCAUAACAACAAUACCCGUACACCGAGGCCCCUGACUCGACGUCCCAGAUUCAUACGCUCGAUUGCCAAAACGCGAUGACGACCAUAUCCUCGAAUAUGGAGAAGGGGUCAUGCGAAUCGGCUGAGGCUUGACUAAGCAUCGACCAUCGAAUACAGAACUGGCUCAUACGAAUCGACAGGCCUCGAGUGCAAGGACGCCGCCCGCCGCUUGACAUGGGUACAAGAACCAGGGCAUUUAAUGCGCCUGUUGCGUACUUGUUGACGGUUCUUAAGUAUCAAUUUUAAUUAUCAAAUAAACAAGAGAAAGGACCAAUAUGCAACUAACACCUAGAAUUAGGGUUUGAUCUAACAGAAUUCCACGAGUUUUGUUGUUUAUCUAUUUCUUCAGGGGGUUAUCAGAAAAUAAGGAAGAAAGGCCCACAUGUCGGGAUUACAUAGAGAUAUCAACACACCGCACGAUUUUCCACCAUCUAGAAGACUCCAGAAGCCACGGGAAGAAGACGGAGGCCGAAAGGGGCCAGGCCCAGGGCGCCCGCCCUGGUGACCUGGGCGCCCGCCCCCUGCUGGAUUGCUUUCAGCACUCUCUUCGCUCGGGAUAUUCCACUGACCUAUUGGAUCGAGAAAAACAUAGUACCACCUCGCCUAUCGACCCAAAAACGCAGAGAAGGGGAGGACUAUAUAAGGAGACCCCCCUGGCCCCUGGAGAAGACAUGAAGAAAUUAUCAUAGAGACUGAGGGGUGCCGAAGGAAAACCUCUUCUCUAAUUAAUAUUUCUUUUUAGGCUUAGCAAUCAAUGUAAGGUAGAAAUAGAUCUUCUAGUUUCUACUAGAUUGAGAGAGAUAGAGUGGAGGUGUUGAUUGGAGGAAGCCCGGCCUGUCGGUGUCUAUUCCAAGCUUGUACCUGCGGGAUCAAGUUCUCCUAACCCGAAGCUUGCUCCUAGGAUUCUUCAGUAAUUCGACUUCUAAAUUCUAGUAAGUUCUUGUUUUAUUGUUCUUAUGGUUUAUGAGUUUACUUUAAUCUCUUCGCGUAGAGUUUAGAGUAAUCAUUGCUGGCGUAAACGUGGUGUUUAGGCUGGGGUACUCAUAGAUAUUCCCUGACUAGCUGGACCGUGGUAGUAGUGAGGAACGUGACAAUUCCGAGCUACCUUUGUAGAUCACAUCUCGUUAGCAGGAAGGAUAGGGUUUAUAGGUGCGGGUUGAACAUCCUUUGUGGUGUCUAGAUUCCGUUAGCCUCCCCAUUAGAACAGUAGAUCAUCCUUACCAAGGUUAGAAGGAGACUACGGUUGCAGUCUUCUCUAUUUAUCACUCACAUCGAAAGACAUUCUUUGUGCCUAAAGGUUAGUAGUAAUAGACCGGUUAGUCAGAUGCACUCUUUCUCCUAGUGGUAAAAAAAUAAAUACGAUACUCUGGAUAAUUUCCCGGGUGAAGUGCUCACCGAUAUCCUGAGAAAGACGGUUGGUGAGAUAACCUGAGUCUUGCUACUAGCUUGUAUCUAUGAAUCUUUUAUCUUUUAUAUUCUUUAUUUUCUUUACUCUUACCUUAUGGAAAACCAAAAUUCUAAAUCAAUCCAUGAAUCUGCAAUCCCUUUAGCAACUGACCUUUUACCAUGGGAGUCAUCACAGCCUGUCCAAACAUCCCAGUAUAAGUUAAGUUCUAGGUUGAUUGCCAUGAUUCAAAACCUAUCUUUUUCGGGAAAGGAAGACGAAAACCCUUACCUUCAUAUUAGAGAUUUUGAGCAAACAUGUGAUUGUCUUCGCAUUGAAGGCAUUUCUUAUAAAACUUUACGUUGGAAGCUUUUUCCUUUUUCCUUAAGGGGAGAAGCUAGACAAUGGUACAGUCAGAAGGUAAGUCAACAACAAGGUGAAUGGGGAGUUUUACGAGCCAACUUUUGUCUAGAUUUAUAUUCCCUUGACCGUAUAGCCGACCUUAGACUCGAAGUCCUAUCUUUUAAACAAAAAGAUAAUGAAACUUUGGGGAAAUCCUGAAAACGUUUUUCUGAUCUUUUAGAAUCUGGUCCAAACCUUAAUCUUGAAGACCCUGUUCUUUUAUUUCACUUUUUUCAAGGUCUUCAGAAAAAUCACAAACAAAUGCUACACACAAUGUCUAGAGGUUCUUUCUUUCGCAUCCCUGCUGAUGAAGCUAGAGUGAUCCUAGAUAGAAUCCUAGAAGCUGAGAUGGAUAAUACCCUUCAUGAUGAAACCUACGAAGCUGAAGUAGACACUCUGCCAAAUUCUUCAUCUACUUUAGCUAUCCCAAGUUCUGAGCCACAAGAGGAAGAAAUUCCACCACCGGACUUCAUGCUGGAUAUAGAAUCCGAUCUUUUUGCCGAUUUUGGAAAUAUUUCAAACUACCAUUCUAUUGACAAACCCCAAAACGGCCAAUUUAGCAUUUAUUUGCCAAGUGAAUAUCAAUUGAGAGAGCUUAUCUCAGUAAUGAGUAGCGAAUGGUUGGAGGAAUCAGAGCUUUCCUCUAAUGUGAUCCGUUUGGACACAGCCUCUAUAACUAUACGCUGUGCUUAUAAUUCUGAUCGAUUUAAUGCUCUCUAUAAUCCUAUUGUGGGGAUCAACAUCAUGUCUGAAUAUUUUGCACUUAAACUAUUUAAAAAUCUUGUCUUAACCCCCACAACAAAGGUCAUAAAGGAAUCUUCGGGACGAUUAGUCCCCAGUCUUGGAAUUAUUAAUGUCCUACCUCUUACGGCAGAAGGAUCCAUGGUUCAUUUGAACUUCUAUAUCUUUGAUACAUGGGACUUCGACCUGUUAAUAGGACAACCUUUUAGAAGACUCCUUUAUGAAGGUCAUACUAGAAAGCUACACAUUUCUUUUGGAAAAACUUUUAAAUUCCCAAUAACAAUUUCACACUCCUUAAACAAUAAGGCCGAGUCAUAUCUUUUGCCUGAUCCUAUGGAGGAAGUAAAGGCUGCAUCUCUAGAGCUUUUAGAUGAACCAGACUUAGAAGACGAAACUCCUUUCUUCACAGAAGAAGAAGACGAACCUUCUGAGCCUGAACACUUAGAUGAGUUUGCAGAAACACCUAGACCCCCCAUAGAGCUUAAAACUUUACCACCCGGUCUUACUUAUGCUUUCCUAAACAAUAAUCCAGAGUUCCCUGUGAUCAUUAGUGAUAAACUCACUCAGGAUCAAACUCUGCGAUUAAUGACCAUUCUUGAGAAACAUCACUCAGUUUUCGGCUACUCACUCCAAGAUCUUACAGGAAUCAGUCCUAUGAUUUGUACCCAUCGUAUUCCAACAGAUCCUUCUGUUUCACCCUCUCGAGAACCCCAACGUAGACUUAAUAAUACUAUGAGAGAGGUAGUUAAAAAGGAAGUUAUAAAGUCGCUGCAUGCAGGGAUUAUAUAUCCUGUGCCGCACAGUGAGUGGGUAAGCCCAGUACAAGUUGUGCCCAAAAAGGGAGGCAUGACUGUUAUUAUGAAUGAAAAGAACGAGCUAAUUCCGCAACGCACCGUCACAGGAUGGCGGAUGUGCAUAGACUAUAGAAAACUAAACAAAGCCACAAGAAAAGAUCACUUUCCUUUACCUUUCAUAGAUGAGAUGCUAGAGCGGUUAGCAAACCAUUCAUUCUUUUGUUUCUUAGAUGGAUAUUCAGGGUAUCAUCAAAUCCCGAUCCAUCCCGAUGAUCAAAGCAAAACCACUUUUACAUGCCCGUAUGGAACUUAUGCUUAUCGUAGAAUGUCUUUUGGGUUAUGUAAUGCACCAGCUUCUUUUCAAAUAUGCAUGAUGUCUAUAUUUUCUGAUAUGAUUGAAGAGAUUAUGGAAGUUUUCAUGGAUUAUUUCUCUGUUUAUGGAAAAACUUUUGACAGUUGUCUUGAAAACUUAGACAAGGUUUUGCAAAGAUGUGAAGAAAAGCACUUAAUCCUUAAUUGGGAAAAAUGUCAUUUUAUGGUUAGGGAAGGAAUAGUGCUGGGACACUUAGUGUCUGAAAGAGGAAUUGAGGUAGACAAAGCUAAAAUUGAAGUAAUUGAACAAUUACCUCCACCUGUAAACAUAAAAGGAAUUCGAAGCUUUCUUGGCCAUGCUGGUUUUUAUCGUAGAUUCAUAAAAGAUUUUUCAUUUAUUGCUAGACCACUUACUCUUUUGCUAGCCAAGGAUGCUCCUUUCGAAUUUGAUGAUGCAUGUCUAACAUCGUUCAAUUUAUUAAAGAAAGCACUCAUCUCUGCACCAAUCAUUCAACCCCCUGAUUGGUCGCUGCCUUUUGAAAUUAUGUGUGAUGCUAGUGAUUAUGCUGUGGGGGCAGUAUUGGGACAAACUAAAGAUAAGAAGCAUCAUGCAAUUGCUUAUGCCAGUAAAACUUUGACAGGAGAUCAACUUAACUAUGCAACCACUAAAAAAGAGCUUCUGGCUGUUGUCUUUGCCAUUGAUAAAUUUAGAUCUUAUUUAGUUGGAGCUAAAAUAAUUGUUACUAAUCAUGCUGCACUAAAAUAUUUGCUCACUAAAAAAGAUGCUAAACCUCGCCUGAUUAGAUGGAUCUUAUUACUCCAAGAAUUUGACUUAGAAAUAAAAGAUAAAAAAGGAGUAGAAAAUUCUGUUGCUGAUCACUUGUCUAGAAUGUAUUUCAAGAGUCCACAGGAAACCCCCAUCAAUGAUUCACUUCGGGACGACAUGCUCUACGGGAUUAACAGGUCUGACCCCUGGUAUGCAGAUAUUGUUGAUUUUAUGGUUUCAGGGUAUGUACCACCAGGAGCAAACAAGAAGAAGCUUAUUCAAGAAAGUCGUUCACAUAUAUGGGAUGAGCCAUACCUCUUCCAAGUAUGCUCUGAUGGCUUACUCAGGAGAUGUGUGACCAUUGAGGAAGGAUGGAAGAUCAUCGACAGAUGUCAUUCAUCACCAUAUGCCAAGGUCACUAUGGAGCAUUCCGUACACAUUCAAAGAUCUGGCAGUGUGGACUCUACUGGCCUACAAUGUAUGAAGACACGAGGCAAUAUAUCAGAAGAUGUGGGCCAUGUUAAAGACAUGGAAACAUAAAUACAAGGGAUGCAAUGCCACUCACCAACAACCUUCAGAUUGAGCUCUUUGAUGUCUGGGGAAUAGACUACAUGGGUCCAUUUCCUCCAUCAAAGAAGUGCGAGUACAUCUUGGUGGCGGUUGACUAUGUCUCCAAGUGGGUAGAGGCAUUACCUUGCAAGCAUGCUGACAACGUCAGUUCAAAGAGGAUGUUUGAAGAAAUUAUAUUUCCAAGAUUUGGAGUCCCCAGAGUAGUGAUAAGUGAUGGAGGAGCACACUUCAUCGACAAACGCUUCAAGCAAUAUCUAUCAAGACAUGGAAUCCGUCACAACGUCGCUACCCCUUAUCAUCCUCAGACAAGUGGCCAAGCAGAGACUUCCAACAAACAAAUCAAGAAUAUUCUUCAGAAGACAGUAAAUGAAAUGGGAACGGCGUGGAAAGACAAGUUACCUGAUGCACUCUGGGCAUACCGGACAGCAUACAAGACCCCAAUUGGAAUGUCUCCAUACCAAUUGGUGUACGGGAAGACUUGCCAUCUACCUGUUGAACUAGAGUUCAAAGCACACUGGGCCAUAAAGAGAUGGAAUAUGGACCUAGAUGUUGCUGGAGAUUAUAGAAGAAUGCAACUAUCAGAAUUGGAAGAAUGGUGAGAGAAGGCAUAUCACAACUCAAAGAUCUACAAAGAAAGAGUAAAAAGGUGGCAUGACAAGAGAAUCAAAAAGAAGGAGUUCACACCCGGAGAUAAGGUAUUACUUUUUAAUUCCAGGGUGAAGCUUUUCGGGCAUGGAAAACUCCGGAGCAAAUGGGAAGGACCAUUCAAGGUAAUUAAUUCAUCAUCCCAUAGAGCUAUCACACUUCAAAAUGACGAAGGUACGUUAUUCAAGGUAAAUGGUCAACGUCUUAAAUUAUUUUUAGAGCCCAAUGAGGAAUUUGAAGAAAUAGACGUAUUCCACUUUUACCUUCCCAUGGAGAAUUAGAGCCCGACCUUUUUAGUCUGAUGUUUUUGGGUCAUAUAUAUAUUUUUCUAAAUAAUUUCGUAUCUAGAAACGUGCUCGAGAAAGUGGGCCCACAGAGGGGCCAGAGAGAGGGCGGGCGCCCAGCUCAGGUGGGCGGGCGCCCAGCUCCUGUUCCCCCUCGGUCCCGAUUUUCUCUGUUAUGGAAAAUGCACUUAUGGUAAUUCGAAUAAUCCCUCGGAUGGAAAGUUUCCCACGCAAGUCGACGGGAGCAACCUGAACAACCCAUAGAGGCACCCUUUUGACCCCUAUAUAAACAGACCCUGACCUCAGUUUUCAAACACCAAGCCACCAAUCCUUCUCUCCUUCAAUUAGAGCUUGAUUAGCUCUCCUUAAAUUAGAGCUUGAUUAGUUCCUUGCUGCUCCAAUGGCCGAGAAGUACCACGAUGAUUGGGAAGUCGUCCCCUUCAACCUCAACAUGGAGCUUGUGGAAGACCCCGAUGCCCGUGCUCUCGUCCCGGCCAACACAGAGCGACAGCUAGAAGCUAUGCCAUUACGCCAACGCAGCUCCGCCCAAUCUUACAAUGCUCAACCAGUUCUCACCGCACCGCCACAACCCCUACUCCUCAAAGGAUCAUCAUCCAAGAUAAAGACCACUAUCAAGGUGCCAACCGGCACAAGGAUCCUUGCACCUAGACCCAAUGAGAGGGUCGUUGGAGUCAAGACCAACCGGAGCGGUGAGAUCAGCAGUAUUCGCUACACUACGGAGGAGGAAAGGCCUUUGAAGGGAUUAGACCAGCCAAAGUCCGUUUCAUCCCUCCAAAGGCAGCCCCGAAGCACUCUCUCAAUGCUUUUGAGACACCUCCCAAGCGUCGCAAGACUAUAAUGGAUAUUGAUGAGGAAGUUCGCAGGCUAGAUAGAGUUAUCAUAGAUCUCCAGUCCUCGAUCAACUCCCUCACUAGCCAGCUCUCUAACCACAACACUAUUAUACUAGGCCUUAGGCAGGAUCUUGCCAGUGCCAACAAGAAGAUCAAGGAAUUAGAGCGCCGCUAAGUUAUCUAGAUUAGACCUUGAGGCAAUGCAUUUUAGUUAUCUAUCUUUAAAUUCGGUUUAGGUUUGCAAUUAUCAUCAGUUUGCUAUUAUCAUCAGUUUGUUAUCAGUUUGCUACUAGUCUUUUGUAAUAAAUGCCUCAAGAUUAAUAAAGAGUAUUACUAUUAUUAUUAUUAUGUCUUGUGUGUCUCUACUUUAUUUUUGUGCAAGAAAGCAAAAAAACAAGUAUGGGGGAGAUCCCUCGACAUGCCAACCACACUCCUACUACACCACUCCACGAUUCAGGUACACACUCUGCACACUUUACACAUACAUAUAUUUUGGAUUAUGCAGAUUAUUGUUUCCGACAUGAUAAAAUAAAAAGAUUAAAAUAUUUCUAAUCAUGAUUAAUCUCAAUAUGUGAUAUUUCCUGAAAACUUACAAUUAUUGAAAAUCAUUUUAAAACCCUGUGUCACUUAAGUCAAUAUGGAAUAUGUGAUGGUAGAGUAUGAGUUUCUUAUUCUUGAUAUCAUUGUUGCUUGGAGAAUUUAUUUCAAAAUAUUCAAAAUUAUAGCUACCAUCCUCAGUGUUUUAUGGCUGAUAAGACUGAAAAUAUUAAUUAUAAUUAUAAAAGCUAUCUACUCUGUAUUGAGUUUGUUCAAAAUGAGUUAGACCCUUGUUGAGAGAUUUAUCAUGCUCCUAAGAUCAAGACAGUAUUUCAGAAAGAUUCACUCUUCCGAAGUAUUAUUGCAUUAGAGGCAUGGGCUAUGCAUAAAUAGAAAUAUUUCGAGGAAAUAAAAAGGAGCAAGUGCUCGACAACAUCGCAGAAAAAAAUGGACAAGUGUCCGGCAGUAGAAUUAGGGGUACCUCGGUAUCCACUUAAAAAAAAUAUACCCCAUGGUCCCUCUAAUAAGCAAUAUGCCAGCAAGAGUUGACAAAGAUUUUAAUUUCCAAAGUUUUUGAUCUAAGAGUAUGACAUUCCCCUCCUCGGAUCCCGUUUUGAUCAGGCAAUAAAUGCAAAGUAAGUAUGCUUGAGAAUUUUUGCAAAAAUAAAACAGCCUCAGUGAGAUAUAUACAAAAGAUAAUGAGUGAUCUGAGAGAACCUAUGAGGAUAAAAAGGUAUGCUAACUUUCUUUCAAAAAUAUACAAAAACUCCAAGUGACAGGAUUGAGAAGAAAGGAUCUCUACUCUUAACCAUAAACUUCCCUGACUAUGGUACAUAGUGGAAUUUUUAACACCCUGCAAUUAUAUAAAGAAUGUUUUAAAUGUUUUACCCCAGAUAUUGUUCUUAACCAUCCUUUUCUCGAGGACGAGUAAAAGCCUAAGUAUGUGGGUAUUUGUUGACGGUUCUUAAGUAUCAAUUUUAAUUAUCAAAUAAACAAGAGAAAGGACCAAUAUGCAACUAACACCUAGAAUUAGGGUUUGAUCUGACAGAAUUCCACGAGUUUUGUUGUUUAUCUAUUUCUGCAGGGGGUUAUCAGGAAAUAAGGAAGAAAGGCCCACAUGUCGGGAUUACAUAGAGAUAUCAACACAUCGCACGAUUUUCCACCAUCUAGAAGACUCCAGAAGCCACGGGAAGAAGACUGAGGCUGAAAGGGGCUAGGCCCAGGGCGCCCGCCCUGGUGACCUGGGCGCCCGCCCCAUGCUGGAUUGCUUUCAGGACUCUCUUCGCUCGGGAUAUUCCACCGACCUAUUGGAUCAAGAAAAACAUAGUACCACCUCGCCUAUCGACCCAAAAACGCAUAGAAGGGGAGGACUAUAUAAGGAGACCCCCUGGCCCCUGGAGAAGACAUGAAGAAAUUAUCAUAGAGAUUGAGGGGUGCCCUCGAAGGAAAACCUCUUCUCUAAUUAAUAUUUCUUUUUAGGCUUAGCAAUCAAUGUAAGGUAGAAAUAGAUCUUCUAGUUUCUACUAGAUUGAGAGAGAUAGAGUGGAGGUGUUGAUUGGAGGAAGCCCGGCCUGUCGGUGUCUACUCCAAGCUUGUACCUUGCGGGAUCAAGUUCUCCUAACCCGAAGCUUGCUCCUAGGAUUCUUCAGUAAUUCGACUUCUAAAUUCUAGUAAGUUCUUGUUUUAUUGUUCUUAUGGUUUAUGAGUUUACUUUAAUCUCUUCGCGUAGAGUUUAGAGUAAUCAUUGCUGGCGUAAACGUGGUGUUUAGGCUGGGGUACUCAUAGAUAUUCCCUGACUAGCUGGACCGUGGUAGUAGUGAGGAACGUGACAAUUCCGAGCUACCUUUGUAGAUCACAUCUCGUUAGCAGGAAGGAUAGGGUUUAUUGGUGCGGGUUGAACAUCCUUUGUGGUGUCUAGAUUCCGUUAGCCUCCCCAUUAGAACAGUAGAUCAUCCUUACCAAGGUUAGAAGGAGACUACGGUUGCAGUCUUCUCUAUUUAUCACUCACAUCGAAAGACAUUCUUUGUGCCUAAAGGUUAGUAGUAAUAGACCGGUUAGUCAGAUGCACUCUUUCUCCUAGUGGUAAAAAAAUAAAUACGAUACUCUGGAUAAUUUCCCGGGUGAAGUGCUCACCGAUAUCCGUGCGCUUGCGGAUCAAUUCCUUAUUGCGUUCCCAAAUAUCAACAGUUCUCACCUAACCCGGCAGUCACGGGAAGCGUGAUAGGGAGCAAGCACCCAUCCAAUCGCCCUUUUUGCAGCCUUGUCCACCAGAUGAACCAGAGUAGGUCAGGGCGCAGUGAGACGGUCGGAACGUCUUGUCACGACCCCCCUCGAGACGCCCAAAGUCAGCGCUCCUAUCAGCAAGGCUUUGCGUGGCGUUGGACCCUCGAGUGAACACUUUCCUUCCCAAAGAAGAGUCAGGCGGUGAAAGACAACACCUCAACAACUCUGACGCGACAGCAGCCACGACGUACAGGUGUGCCCACGGUUAAGCCGAUCCAGGACGGCGCGCAGGAGCCGAAUUCAGAGGCACGCGUAAUCAUCAUCCAAGUACUGAGUAACAAGACGGCUUGAGGCCACGCCAGUACGGAAGCCUCGAGUAGGUCAGCGCACCACGCAUCUAUCGACCCCUACUCUAUCACCUACGCCAUGUAACCUAGGUCACCCCUUGGAACUAUAAAAGGGUAGGCACAGGAAAGGAUAGGGGACACAAGACAUACCUAGAAGAACAACCACACUUCAUCUCCCACCAUCCACACAAUACCGACUUGUAUUCACCCCUGUACAAGCACUUAGGUGCAAGAUAAUAGAAACAUCUCCUCCCCACCCGACGUAGGGCCUUCUCUUGCCCGAACCAGGAUAAACCUUUGUGCCUUUCUUGCAUCACCAUCUGGGAAAGGGAACACGCACACAAGUUUCACUCGUUGGAGUGACCCCCCGUGGGGAAAACACCGAUAGAUAUAAAUAUUAAAACUGUGGGCAAUUGCUUUGUUCAAGUCAUUGUUUAUUUCUUGUGGUUUUGGUUGAGAGAAUUAUCAUGCUCCAAAGAUCAAGAUCGUUUUGUUUUAAAAAUAUAAAAGAUUCACUCUUCCGAAGUAUUAUUGCAUUAGAGGCAUGAGACUAUGCAAAAAUUUGAUUAAAAAAAAGAGUGAGACGAGAGGUAAAAAUGGACAAGUGUCCAAAGUAGAAUUAGGGGUACAAAGAUACCCACCUGAGUGGAAAAAAUGGACACAUGUCUGAUAGUAGAAUUAGGGGUACUUGGUGCCCACUUGAAAAAAAGAAAAAAAAGAGAGAGAGACUGAAAAAAAAGAGAGAAAAAAAAAUGAUAGCCCAUGGUCCCUCUAAUAAGCAAUGUGCUAGUAAGAGAUGACAAACUUUUCAAAAAGGUCAAAGGUAUUGAUGUAGGAGUAUGACAUUCCUCUCCCUUGCUCCGAGCAUUGACAUAGCAAAAUGCAAAGUAAGUAUGCUAAAACUUUUAAAGCUCUACUUAUAUAUCUUUCGAGAAGAAGGCAAAUGCCUCAGUUUUAUUUUGGAAACUUACAAAAAACUCCAGAACAAAGGUAAGACAGAAGAACUUGAGACAUAGUGCUUGACUUGAUCGUUCUGUUUUUCAAUCACUUAAGAGCUUAGUGAUAACUUAAUAACCCUGUAGUAAGAGGCAUAAAAGUAACCCCAGUUUUUUUCUGAUUUUAGCUUUGCUCAGGGACGAGCAAAGGUUAUGCUUGGGGGAGCUUGUUGACGGUCCUUAAUGCUCACAUUUAACCGUCAACUAAUCAUGGAAAAGGACUUAUAUACAACUGUUGGGUAUUUUAAACGCAAAGAGAAAAAUCCGCAAGCGCACGGAUACCGAUGUAGCCUUCACCCGGGAGUAUUCCAGAGUAUCGAUUUUCCACAGAGAACGUGAGUGUACUAAUUAAGAUCCAAGAUCGCCCAAGGAUAACUAUAUAAUUAUUUUUGGUGGGAAGAGAGGAAGUUUCCUGAGAGUUCUCUAGUUGAUCUAAGAAUCAAGAAUUACUUCAAGAUUAUUUAUAUCGGGACAUCAGAGCACUAACCACAGAAAGAGAUGAGAAGGGGGCUAGGAAGGUCUGACUACGGUCCUACAAACACCGAUCCGAACGUGGUGGAAUACGUCGACCGUUAGGGAUGUCACUACCCUAAGGCUACCACAACAAUCCGCAGGAUUGGGUGCAAUUCCAGGUAAUUGCAAGACUAAACACCACGUCUAAUCUAUUAAUUACUACUCUAAUGUUUCAAAGAUUAGAGCACUUGAUGCAAGCGGGAAUCCAAUAAAUAACUUGAAUGUAAAUAAAAGUAAUUAGAGAACUCAGGAGUUAUGAGUUGAAGAACCUAGAGAACGAUGAAGAACGAACCAGAUGUUGCAAAAGUACAAUGUUGAGGAAGAUCCGACAGAUCCGGCUCCUCCUCCGCUCUCCUCUUCUCUCUCCCUAUUUUCUAGAUUACAACUAGAACUAACUAGAACUAGAACUAGAGGAACUAGAACUAGAACUAAAUGAACUAGAACUAGAUCUAGAUGAACUAGAGGUAGAACUAGAAGAACUAGAGGGAUCCUCUCUACUUGGAUGAAUAAUUGAAACCCCUAGCUUUGAUUCUGUAGAAGAGGUAUGAUCUCCAGGGGCCAGGGGGUCUGGUUUUAUAGUCCCUUCAAGUGAAUCUGGGCCGUCGGAUCAAACCGACAUUGAUCGUGUGGUUCUCCUUGAUCCUUUAGGUCGGUGGAGCAUAAUCCGCGAAACGUGUCCUGAUUGGGCACUGUAGCUGGGCGGGCGCCCUGCCUCCGAGCCCGAUUUCCUUCCCGUUCGUUCCCGUGGCUUCUGGAGUCUUCUAGAUGAUAGAAAAUUGCGCGACACGUUAAUAUCUCUAUGUAAACCUGACGUGUGGGCCUUUCUUCCAUAUUUCCUGAUAACCCCCUGCAGAAAUACACAAACACCAAAACUCGUGGAAUUCUGUCAGAUAAAACCCUAAGUCUAGGUGUUGGUUGCAUUUGGAUCCUUUUCCAUGAUUAAUUGAUGGUUAAUUGUGAGCAUUAAGGACCGUCAACAAGCUCCCCCAAGCUUAACCUUUGCUCGUCCCUGAGCAAAGAUGAACUCAAGAGUUUCUGAAGUGGUUUCAUAACUUAAAGAUACACAUGCGUUUAAACAAGAUCUCAUAUCUGGUUAGAGUAAACUGUUAAGACUUAAAACUUACUCAUUUACCUUUCACCAUGGGACUUGUAACCGUCACUUCUGUCUUGAGUAGUUAAAAGAUAGAACGGUCUAGUCAAGCACCAUGUCUCUUAUUCUUGAUCAGCUAUAGCUCUAGAGUUUUUGCAGAUUUUCAAAUAAAACACAGAGAUUCCUUGUAUGACUCUCUCUAGUCUCUCUUUUGUGGUAUUUCUAGAUCCUUACCAAGGCAUUAAUGGUGUAUGCCUUCUCUCAAAGUAUGUGGUAUUUGUGGUAUAAGGCAUAGUGGCAUUGCCUUCUCUCUCACCCUACUCUUAUAAGGUUUUGAUAUCUGGAGCUCAUAGGUGGGAGACAGCUAAUACAUACUUACAAGACAUUUAUUGCAUAGUCAAACCAUGGAUCCAGAAGAACAAGUCAAUAAGUCAAAUCAAGAUGUGCAUGUGUGGUGAAUGAAUGGUGUAUGGUGAUGAUGGUUAUAACAAUGGUGAAAGUCUAAUUCUACUUAUGCUCUUUUGAGGGGAUACAUACCUUUCUUGCUCUUUUGAAACUUUUUGAGGAGAAUGAGAUGCUCUAUAUAUUUUUUUCUUUUCUCUCAGGUGGGUAUCUUGUGCCCCUAAUUCUACUGUCGGACACUUGUCCAUUUUUACCUCUCGUCUCACUUUUUUUUUAGGUUCCGGGCACUUGCCCCUUUUUAUUUCCUCGUAUUUAUUUUUUUUCUCUCUCUUUUUUUUCUUUUUUUUAGAGCACUCAUCUCCUGAAAUAAUAUAGCAAGUGGUAGUAACCAAGAUAACUUGUGCAUUUAUUUCACAGGGGAAAAACAGAAAUAUUUUUGGCUAUUCUCUCUCGGAUUAGGAGUAGAAUAUUUUUGGGUGGUUCUGGAGAUGGAAAUGGAUGGAUAUAUGUGGAUGCGUUCUUCCGAAGUAGAAGUAGCAUGUAUGAGUGAACGUGCAAGUGAAUCUUGAUUUAACCACAUGACAAGCUCCUAAGGGUCUACACAGCUUGACCACACUCAAUGCUCAUAAGUAGUAAAAAGUAAAUGUGUGGCUCAUAGUCUAACAAGCAUGUAUAUAUGGCUGUGGUAGGAAUUUAAACUCUCAUCAUACGGGAACUCAUCAUGCAACAUUUUAAAGAUUUUCAAAGAUAAAAUUCUCCAGAAUUCUAGCAUCCCUAGGAACACAUAAACAACAGCUUAACCUUCCCAUAUCAUAUCCGUUAACAACUUAGACUUUAGAUCAAGUACUCUCCCCACAAGUUCAGGUUUAGAGCAAAUCUUAAUUAAUAACAGUCAUGCCUAAACUUGAGAGAGAUUUCAAUUUUGAUAACUAGUCAUGGUAGAGCAACUAUUCAUCAUUUCCAUGUGAGAGCUUAUUAUGAGGGUUCAUAGCAAACUUUAUUUAUUUAUUUAUUUAGCAAGCUAAGCAAAGAUAUAUAUAAGCACAAAAUCUUUAUUUGGGUUUUUAUGAUCAUGCAUCUUUUUAUUAUUUGAGUAAAAUAUAAACGUGAGUAGAACACUUAGCUGGAUAAAUGGGGGUGCUCUCCCCCAAGCUGGAUUUUGACGUAAUUUCUUCUGAUGUAGCUAGCAGGUGGCGGAGGUGUAUUUGAAUGUCGGCAGCACUCUGAUAGCGAUUAGGAUGUCCUCCGUCUGCUAGUCUUCUUUGAUCCUUGAAUUUUGUGGAGCUCAAAUAGACAACAAAACUUUGUGGAACUAGUUAAGUGUUAGCAUAAAAACUCUUAGCCGUUAUCAUGUUGAGCUUCCUCUAAUAAAUUUUACUCUCUUUGGUAGGAUCAUAAAUCUAUUUUUAUAAUUUUAUUUUUAUAGGACAGGAAUAUAUUUACUUUAUUUUUAUGCCACCAUAGUGAAUGUACUUAUGGGUUUUAUGCCAUGAGCAUACUCACAUGGGGCUUACUUAACAUUUUUAUUUUCUAUUCAAGAUGAUAUGAACCAGAUUAACUAAGCAAACUAUUUUAAAAUAAUUGAAAGGAAAAAGAUAACUACCAAGUUUACCUCUUGGCAAGGCGUUCGGUGUUUUUAAGUCCUCCGAACGGGACUCUCCGUUUUCUCAGUCGUCCUGGAAUUCGCUGGAUGGCGUAGUCGGUGGUUCCGGCGGUGCCUCCUCUUUAUGUAUAACUAUCUUCUCUCUACACACCUGACUCGGUGCUACGGUCUCCUCAGGACAGUUCUGUUCAAGUUGUAUGUCUUCAGACCUUACGACUUCUCCUUCAUAGUCUGCCCAUCCGUCCUUGAUGAUUUGCCUCCUCUGGUUGCGGUUGCGUCGUCUUCUUCUUGCCCUGACCUGCUUAGAGUCAUCAGCUAUAUAGUUAGGGUCAGUAAAAUAGCGGCGUACCUUCUCAGAGGGGGAGUUCAUGUGGACUUCUCCGGUUCCAAUGUAGAUGAUUGCUUUAACAGUGCUGAGGAACGGUCUUCCAAGGAGGAUGGGUGGAUCGUACUUGUCUUCUCCCAUGUCAAUAACCUUAAAAUCAUCUGGAGCUAAAUGUAUGUUGGUUGUAGGGACAUGGUUCCAUGCAGGAGCUGAUAAGUGACUGCGGCCAUUAUAUUGACGUUAGAUCCGGUGUCGUAGAGUGUCUUCUGAAAAGAAUAUCCGUUGAUUGUGCACUCGAUGCUUGGGACACCAGGGUUGUCCUUCUUGAUCAAGAAAGGUGACUUGAGUUGACGAUCUUGACCUCCUUGAACUGCAGUGACCAUCUUAGCUGACUCGGUACACAUUUGCUUGUUCCUGUUCCUCCUGUUGGUCCUCUUCCUUGGUUCAUGUCGGGAAUGCUCUGAGAUUUGUGUAGUCUUGUUUCUUGAAGGAAAACGUCUCCUUCUUCCCCUUGAUGUAGAAACUGAUCUUGGCAGCACUAGCAUAGAUGACAGCUCUUGAGGUGUUCAGGAAUGGCCUCCCUAGGAUGAUGGGUGCCCUCUCAUCAGUACCAGUCUCUAUUACCAAGAAGUCUGCUGGGGCGUACAAGGUACCAACUCAGACGCAGAGGUUCUUCAAUAUCCCCUUUGGGAAACUUAGUGUCUGAUCUGCAAGCCUGAGCAUAAUGUUGACGCUGGAGCCAAAGUUACAGAGUGCUUCUAGG